rnacentral:lncRNA from 1 species
UUUUUUUUUUUUUUGCAACCAUACACAUGAGAACUAUCACCUCAGUUCCGAAUUAUAAAAAGUUUUGGAUAUUUAAACAUGAACUACAUACAUACUGAAAUGAGUAAACAAACAUACUAUAUACAUUCAUCCACUUCCAAAAAAAGUUAGAACAUUAUAACUUGGAACGGAGCGAGUACAUCUAAACAGAAUAGAAGAAGAUGAAGCACUUGCCCCACAAAAGAUAACACCUACCUACCUCGUCGACGGAACCUGGUUUCAUGUUGUUGAAAGAGCCUCACACAAUACUUGGAAAGUUUCCCCCGCAGUUGCAUGCAUGCAUGCACGCCACAUUAUUAUGUUGGGAAGGAUUCUUCCCGAACAUACAGUUAAUCAUUUGCGUUGCAUGUAUCAACAGGGCCAAUGUACCACAAGGGUGUGUACCACUUGUUCUACCAGUACAACCCGCUUGGCGCGAUGUGGGGCACCGGCAACCUCUCCUGGGGUCACUCCGUCUCCCGCGAUCUCGUCAACUGGGACGCCAUCCACACCGCGCUCGACCCCAUCGCCCCCUUCGACGCGAAUGGCUGUUGGUCAGGCUCCACUACCGUUCUCCCUGGCGGCGUCCCAGCUUUGUUGUACACUGGCAUCGACACUCAUAAGGUGCAGGUGCAGAACGUCGCCUUCCCUAAAAACCCUGCUGACCCAUUCCUCCGCGAGUGGGUGAAGCCCACCUACAACCCUGUCAUCCCGCACCCGGCCGACGUCCCCAGCGACAGCUUUCGCGACCCUUCGACGGCGUGGAUAGGAAGCGAUGGCAUGUGGCGCAUCGCCGUUGCAGCCAAGGUCGGUGGCCCCAUGGGUAUUGCCUCCGCCCUUAUCUACCGGAGCAAAGAAUUACGGCGCUGGAAGCGGAAUGCCUUACCGUUGUACACAUCACGGUCCGCCAUCAUGGUCGAGUGCCCAGACCUGUUCCCAGUGGCGGGGCCGGACACGGAGGAGGGGCGGCUCGACUAUGCAUCCAUUGCGGCGAACGGUGCUGUGAGGCACGUGCUGAAGCUGAGUGUGAUGAACACGACUCAAGACUACUACGCGGUCGGCAGGUACGACGACGCGGCCGACACCUUCACACCACAGGUGGACAUGGAGCGCAACAUCGGCGACUGUCGAACUUGGCGUCGUAUCGACUAUGGCCAUGUGUAUGCAUCCAAGUCCUUCUUUGACGCAGGGAAGAACCGGCGCGUGUUGUGGGCGUGGGCCAAUGAGUCCGAUAGCCAGGACGAUGAUAUUGCAAGGGGCUGGUCCGGUGUCCAGGUGCGCUACCAUCGUACCAUCGUCCGGUCAAUUUGCGAUCAACUAGUCAUCUCAUUAAUUGGCUACUAUGUGUGCAUGCAUCCAGACGGUUCCGAGAAAGGUGUGGCUAGACGGCGAUGGGAAGCAGCUUCGACAGUGGCCGAUUGAGGAGAUCGAGACGCUAAGGAGGAAACAAGUCAUUGGCUUGCUUGGAGCGCAAGUGAACGUCGGAGGCAUGAACGAGAUCAUUGGUGCAGGCGCACAAGCUGACGUGGAGGCUGUCUUUGAGAUCCCAUCCCUGGAAGAGGCCGAGAGCUUCGAUCCCAACUGGUUGUUAGACCCGCAAAUGUUGUGUGCGGAGAAGGGUGCGUCCGCGCGGGGCGGGGUCGGCCCAUUCGGGCUACUCGUCAUGGCCUCUGGCGACUUGCGCGAGUACACAUCUAUCUUCUUCAGGGUGUUCAAAUACGAUCAGAAGUACAAAGUCCUCAUGUGCACCGACCUCACAAGGUAUAGAACACAACUUCCCUAAUAUAGAUGGGGUUUCCCACUGUUGCAAAGUCAAAAUUUAGUGUUUCACCUCGUAUGUGUUCCAAAAAAUGAUGAGUAGAUCGACUACGAGGGCCAAUGUGUACAAGCUGUCGUACGGAGGCUUUGUGGACAUGGACAUUGAGGAGCACAAGAGGAGUAUAUCUCUUAGAACAUUGGUAAAAUUCUUCAAUCCUUUGCUUUGUUGGACGCAUCAAGUGAAAUUGAGUUACAACGUGUGACUUACUUCUCUUCUUCCAACAAAUAGAUUGACCAUUCGGUGGUAGAGAGUUUCGGAGGCGGGGGGCGCACAUGCAUCACGGCACGUGUUUACCCUAAGCACGUGGAGAAGAGCAAUAGCCACAUGUAUGUGUUCAACAACGGGACGGGUGUUGUGAAGAUGUCCAGGCUCGAAGCAUGGAGGCUGGCAACAGCGACCAUAAACGUCAUCCCUGGUGGGUCAUAACAUCAAGUGUAAAUAAUUAUUGUAACACUUUUCAGUGUAGGAAUAAUGAAUGUCGAACACUUGGAGAGCUUGUAGCCAGGCGUUAUAUUCCAUUGAGCUAUAUGUAUAUCUUAUACUACUGCAUACGUUUUAAACAUCUACUAUAGUACUUUACUGAGAUACAAGAUAUCAUGUAUUUAUGUAACUUCUACUUCCAAUAUAAAUGAAAGACACUUGUAAUGUGUGUGUCAAAUGAUAAAUAUUAGAGUUCUUGGCACAUUAAAGUGGUAGGGAAUAAAGAAACUAAAGUGGACCAGAUGUUCUAGACAGCUCGCGAGUAUCAAGGUGAUUGUCUUUAACUCAAGCUUUUGUUUAUUUUUAAAGUGGACCCUAAGCUUAGCAGGAUGCCUAUCCAACAGUUUGUUUGUUAGCUUGUUGGUAAAAUAUGUCAAUGUCAUCAACCAACAUCUUAACAUACAAUUAUUCCAAUAGGUUGUAUCUAAUUUGCCCAAUAGGAAGAGAUAAUAAAUAAGGUGCUCUCUUAUUCUACAUUCGAGCUUAUACAAGGAGUGUUGGUUCACGUACAUACAAUCUUACUCUCUUUUCUUAUUUAUUGUAUGACACAUCAUCAAAUAUUUUAUGUGGCAAAGUCUACCAACAACUAUCUUACAACCGAAGAUGCCCUUAUCGACAACUCAUGCUACUUAUGACACUGUUGUCAUCGAUCCUUGAUUUUCUUUAGUUUCACGUCUCAACUUGUCGGUAGGAGCGUUGCCAUCACUGGACACUAGUAGUGGAAGGAAUACAUCCUAAAUGGGCCCAUGACUGGCCCAGUGAUAGGGGUUUUUCUAGGGAAAAGUUCAAUGGCAAAAGCAAAUUUGACUCUCCACCUCGCAGCAACGACCAUUGCCUUUUGAUCUCUUCAAAUCGCUCUAUCUUUUUUAGAAUCAACACCUCAAUUAUUUAAUCAAAAGAGUUCAGUAUCUUUGCCGAUAAAACACUAAGAAUAAAGUCCGGAGGUACGUGAAACGACACUUUAGAAAGUUCAUGACUUGCACCCUUUUUCACUAACAAAUGUGCAGCAACAUUUUUUGUUCUCCACACCCAUUUUACCUUAAUCUCCUGACAAGUUUGCGACAAUGUCUUCACUUCCUAGUGACAGGUCCCAAAGCCGACAAGUUCUUCCUUGGGUCGUUCAACAUCUGCGCCACCCCCUUAUUGUCCAUCUCGAUGAGCAGCUUCCGGAUAUUCAUCUCGAUCGCGAGCUAUGCCACCUAAUGACAAAAAAGUUGAAUGAUAAAAAAGUUGUAAAUAAUAUCAUUGGGUCAGCAAGAAGCUUAUUUUCAAAAAAAAAAGGUGAAUUCCUCAUUUGAUGUAAUCAUGCAUGAGAACUAUCACAUCAGUUCCUAAUUAUAAGACGUUGGAGGUUGCAUACCGCCGCUUGGAGAUGGGUGACCGAUUCAUCGAUCGCUGGCUUCCAAGACCCGAUUGACGCUGAUAAAGACUGCGGUUUGUCUCCCUAUCGCUGCUAUGUCUCACUGAUCCCAUCGAGCCCUCCUAGGCGGUCAAGGAUCUUGGUGAUCUGCACCUCCAUGUCGUCUUGGUAUGCUUCUGUUUGCCGAGUGGUGGGCUUUUUCUGGGGAAAACUUUCGAUCUACUCACAAUCAAUCAUGGCAGUACAAUGAAUGCAAGAGAUAAUAAAAAUUACGUCAAAAUAUGUAAACCACCUAGCGACGACUACAAGCACUAAAGCGAGCUGAAGGUGCACCAGCACCCCUCUCUCACCGGGGCCGGGUAAAACUUAGUGUAGUAGACAGUUGGGAAGUCAUCGUGCUAAGACCCCAUAGAAUCAGCACACCAGAAUAGCAAUCGUCGUCGAUGAAGAGAAGCAUAUAUCGGAAGGAUCCAACCGUAAGACACACUGAUGUGCACGAACGAAGACUGGAUCCAAGCGGAUCCAACAAAGACAACCACCAACCGAAUCCUGCGAGCUCUGCCGGAGAGACACCUCCACGUGCCCUUUGAUGAUGCUAGACACACCACCGAGAUGGGGUGCUAGGCGGGGAGAACAUUAUUUCAUCUUCAGAGAGUCAUCGCCAUCUCGUCUUACCGAGCAAGAGAAAACCCCUAGCAAAACUCAAACAAUCAUAUAAGAAUGGAGCCCUCCCGCCGGCAAGGGCCGGGAUCCACCAUGCCCCCAUGGCCCUGCGGCCACAGGAGACGAGGCAGAUCGGUGGCGCCGCCUUCAAAGGGAGGUAGAAACCCUAGCAGCAUGUUUCGCUCGAACGAGAGAUGAAGGGAUAAGACAUGUGGAUGCAUUGGUUUGUUAGAGCUCCUUGUUUUUGUUUUUGGUGUAUGAGGGCUUGAUGAUGUAAUCCAGGACCGGUGCUAGUAUAGAAAUCGAAGGCUCUGAUUACCACUUGGUUUUUUAGGGAAGAUUACCACUUUUAAGAAACCACGAUCUAGGGUUCCUCUCAAAUUGAUUUCAAGUAGCACUCUAGCUAUUAGGAAUAAAAGCCACAAGUUUCUUUUUUAGGACGCUGAUAACGCCCACACGUGUGGUGGGAGCAACACCCACCCACACUCCAUAUAACAUACAGAUUGCACCACGUCAUCGCAUGCAUGAAUGUGGGAAUCUUUUUGGAUGUCCAGUUUUUAAAAUGUUUUAUCUCUUAAAUGAAAAAUCUGAUUGAAGAUCCAUUUUCACCAUCAAAACCAUCGCGACGAGAUCUUCGAAACUAGAUCUCAUAUCAAUAUGUUUCGACGACUUUUUGGGUUAAAAGUUGCCAUGUCUAUUGCACAUGAAUUGCCAUGGUGUUUACACUGAAGUUGUCAUGAUAUGUUUCAGCUCUUUUUUCUUCGACCUUUAAAAGUAAAUUUUGACAUAUUAUAAAAUGGGGAAUUAAGAAACUAGACUUGCCAUGAACCAUAAACUAAAAUUGCCAUGAUACAUGCACUUAAAAUUGCCAUGGUUCAUACAAAAAAUAUUUUUCAUGGUCAAAGUGCUGAAAUUGCCAUGGUCAAAAUACUAAAAUUGCCAUGAUCUAUAAACUAAAAUUGUCACAUGGCAACUUUAGUGUAAACACUAUGGCAACUACAGUGUAAACAUCAUGGCAACUUUCGGCCAAAAAGUAAAUUUCAUCGAAACAUAUCAACAUGGGAUCUAGUUUUGAAAAUCUCUUCGAGAUGGAUUUAAUGGUAAAAUGGAUUUUUAAUUUGAUUUUUAGUUAGGAGAUAAAACAUUUUUGAGCCGAAAACAAAAAAGAUUCCCGCUGAUGUCAUCUGUUUUGACGUUGCAAAAUGAAUGGUGAUGGAGGUGUUUGGGCCAUAUUGCUUCGUUCCACAAGUGUGGGCGUUAUCAUUUGAGUUUUUUUAACUUAAAAGCCACAAGUUUCUAGUCUAGGGAAGAAAGAACACAGAGGGGAAAGGGUGUCCCGCGCAAGACAAAUAAUCUUCCAGAUUUUUUUUAGAAACACAUGUAAUUUUAUUCAUACUCAUAACAAUUAUAGGUACACUGAUUUGGAUCUAAGAUCCAAGAAAAUACAAAGUAACUCCUGUGACUAACAAUUUCUAUGAGAUCUAUUGGAAACACCUUCUUUGCUGUAUCAAUCUCGGUUAGAAGAAAUACUUCAAAGACCUCGAUGAAAGGAUGCAACUGGAUUGGAGCAACCAUGUUGUCACUCUUGCACCCGCACAAACAUUAUCAAUAAUGGUUUUUUGAAAGCACCUUGUGUCGCCCAUCCAAAAAGAUGGGAUGCCUUGAUUGGUGAACGUACUUGGGCCGGGGAUGAUCCCCUAGAAGUGUACGACGUCGACUAACAAUAUCUUCACCAUAAUGUCUAUCAAACACUUCAACUUCACAAAGAAUCAAAUCAACAAAAAAAUUAACAUAUCAAUCUAAACUCAUCAUAUCCGAAUAAUCGGAUCUGCGAGGACUGAAAACUCUCUAACCUGAUGGCACCGCCAACAGGACGAGAGUAAAUUUAUUCUCAUAAAAUACAAUGAUCACUAGAUGAUGACGAAGAACGUAGCACUGCUAAAAAUCCAAGCUCCCCCACCUCUCGCCGCCAAGAUGGCAGCGGGAGGCGAGGGGACCAAAAAAUUCUUUGCGGCGGCAGCGGGCUGGAGCCUAAACGAAACCCUAAUCUUCCUUUUUUGUCCUUUUUUUGAGACAAAAAACCCUAAUCUUCCUGAUCUUGUGUGCCCUUGCUCACAUCAGUCGCAGUAUUAUGUAGCUGGUGUAUGAGACAGGCUUAUGUAGCUUUCAUGGCAGCGCCCUCGUUGACUACCUGGCUGGUGCGACCUCCAUCUGCUUCCUCCGCGUUGCCUGGGUGGUCGUCUGUUCGUUCGCCGAACUAUUUUUUUUUUGUUGAGAAUUUCAUUCGCCGAACUGAGAGAGAUAAUAGCGUAGCAAUUAGCAUGCAGUUAUUAUCAAAGAUCAGCCGUGCACGAGCAGUUAAAAAAAAAGAUCGGCCAAGCAGGAGCAGACCAGACCGAUUGAGCCCACAACCAUACACGCACCCAUAUAUCUUGAUCUCCGCACAUCUAUACCAUCGGACGGACCGCACCAAAACAAAGCCCGCGGAUCAUUGUUCCAGCCUCACAAAACCUAGCUGCAGCCUCGAAUCUCUCUCAGCAACUACGGCGCUACGAUGGCCAAGAUGCGGAUGGUCGCCCAAAUUUCCACGCAGCGGGGACGGCGGCGCAUACUCGUCGCGUCUCUCCUGACCCGGAGCCCUACGUACGCCGCCGGCGCCGAGCAGGGGGCAGCCACCGACGACGACGGCGUCACGAUCGAGCGUGAGGCCGCGGGGGACCCUGUGGUGAGGCGGACGCGCAGCCGCUGCCGCGCCGCCGCCCUAGACCGCCUCCCGGAGGACAUCGUGGUGUGGGAGAUUUUGGUCCGCCUCCCGGCCAGGGACAUCCUCCGCUGCCGUGCGGUAUGCCGCUCCUGGCGCAGCCUCGCCUCUGCCCCUGAUUUCCUCCUCGCCCACCACCGGCGCCAGCCGUCACUCCCUCUUGUUGUGCUCUAUGGCAGCGCGGCCAGUUCAAGUACAGAGGCUGCUGGGCAACAAGUCUUGGGGCAAGGCCGCUGCCGGCCUGUCCUCGGCUUCGACGACUACGACCGCUGGAAGUUGCACGCUUCCUGUGACGGCCUCCUCCUGCUAAGCCUCUCUGAUGGCCGCUUCAGCGUCUGCAACCCGGCCACGCGUCAGUGCGUUUCACUCCCGGCCCUCACGGCCGCAGGCGACAUCAACGUUGCGGCACUAUACUUGCACUGCCAAUCCGGCGAGUACCGCGUCCUUUACUGGGAAGCAGCUGCGUACUACAUCCUUAAUGUGCGGGUGCGGCGGAGGGUCUCGCCGAGGUGCAUUGGAGUUCCUUCAGAUAGACCUGACAUGGUGGCUAUGUUGGCCGGGCAUGGGACUUCUCCUAUUAAUUUGGCCUCACCAGUCGUGUUUCGUAACCACCUUCACUGGGAACCUGAUGACUGUGAUCACUUUGAUGUCGGCAUAGUCAUUUUUGACACGGUGGUCGAGUCAUUCAGGUCUAUGUGUCGCCCGACUGCGACCGGCUUCUGCAUGCGUUUGUGGGACAUGGAAGGUUCAAUUGGAUUCAGUUGCUUGGACUCUCGGAGGUCCAGCUCAAAAAUCUGGGUGUUGGAGGACUACGAGAGGGAGGUCUGGUCAUUCAAGUACCAUGUUAAACACCCAGAGGAGGUCUUAUGUCACAGUGUAAACACACGACAUCCAGCGGUGGUGUUCUGGCACAGAGUAAACACACGACACUGUGUUUUGUCCCACGAGGGAGACCUGCUGGUCUACAACAUGUCUGCACGUUACAUGUUCCACUAUGACAGCACCGGUAAGUUACUAGAGGAAUUUAAAUGGGAACCCUUGUCAGGGAAUUUGAGCAUUAUUGGACACAAGUACAAAGAAAGCCUUGUCAAGCAUAAGUUCUUCCCCAAGCGUGAUGCUGCAUCCCCCGAUAAAAAAAGUUUAUUCCAAUGGGUUUAAACUAAGGUAUAUCAACAAACCUUCGAAUCUGAGUGAUUUAUAUAUUUCCCAUCUCUAGUGAGCUUUUUAAUGUGGCGGUUAUUAGGUAGAGCUAUAUUGUCUUGCUACAUAGGGAAGUGUCCACGAAUUAUUUUAUCUCAAUUUGGGUGCUAACAUGUUAGCCUUACAUAAGUUUGGUGCCCCACGAAUAGACGCUUAAAAUAUGUAUUAUAACUCGACAUGAAAACAAUAUUAGGUUAAUGUCUCUCUACUUAUGAAGUGGUAAAAUUGUUCAAAUUUGAUCCAUCUAGUUAGGGAACAACAACGCCACGUGACAAAUUCAGAACAAUUUUCAUACAAUGCAACACAUCAAGCCGUCCAUGCAUGCAUAGAGAAAAACUGAAUAGCACCGUUCAAUCCUCCAUCGUCCAAAGUUUGGGCUCCAUGACGACGACCAUGAACAAGACUAUUUGGAAGGUUUGGGCACCUCCCAAGGUCAAGUUCUUCUCCUGGCUAGCGAUUCAAAACAGAAUAUGGACGGCGGAUAGAUUGGAGAAGCGAGGUUGGGAGAAUUGCGGACUGUGCACCCUCUGCAGAAGGGCAAACGAGACGUCCGCGCACCUCUUCUUUCGGUGCAGGUUCACCUUGCGCGUGUGGAGAUUGGUAAAGGAGUGGCUUGGCCUAGGGGCUCUCGAGAUCCAUCAAUGGCAGGCGGAGCGCAAUAUCAAACAUUGGUGGACAAACAUGUCGAAGCCCAAUACGGCGAACCGGAAGGCCAUGGCUUCCCUUACUAUUCUUGUUGGUUGGGCCAUUUGGAACGAGAGAAACGCUAGAGUUUUUAGGAAGAAAUCAACGCCGCCCUUCUACAUUCUAAAACUAAUCCAAGAUGAAGCCAAACUUUGGGUCAUGGCAGGAGCUACGCACCUGAGCAUUAUCAUGCCGCGGGAGUAGUUAUUAUUUUCAUUUUGCUGACGGACGGGCUAUGUUGUGGAGCCACUAUUAUGUACUCUAAAACUCUCCUUCUUUAUUAAUGAAUGAGGCAAGUCUUUUGCCUCUGUUUCAAAAAAAAAAGUUUGGGCGGGGCAAGUGUCAUUUGCACAUUAGUUUUGAUUUCGGAAAGUCAUAAAUCCACCAGUGUGUAGGUACACCCCAACUAAGUUUGGAAUCUAAGAUGGCAUGUGUCAUAAAUAAUGGAGAAUACCCAAGGACGCGAGCAGAGUUUUAUUUUACUAGGACAGUGUUUUUUUUAGCAAAGUGCAAUUGACACAUUUGUUGCUAAGAUAUAUUCUCAACUGAUACUCAUAUCUUGUAUCGCUCUGUAUGCUAUGUGAGAAUUGAAAGAUUGAAUUAUAUAUUUGAUAUUACCAAUAUACAUCUUGUGAGUCUUUUUUCUUUUGAUAGGGCACUACAUGUGUUUGCUCUAGGACAAGGAGGAGAUGAUGAGCCGAGGCCAAAGCAACAUCUUCCCCGUCCAAGAGCUCCAAACAUAUGUCUAGAUACGAUGGAUUCGGACAAUGGUCAUUGGAGUUUGAACAUGACACCAUUGAUGGCGAGAAGAAGAGUUGCCUCACAUACACUGCCAACAACUGGGUUGAUGGUGUGGCGUCUCAGGAGUCAGGACACAGUACAAGCAAGAUGUAGUUGCCUCCCUCCCAUAUAAAUGUUUGUUUUGACCCGGGCCACAUAUAUUAUAAUUUACCUGGCAUGAGUUUUAUUUAUCAUGUAAAUGUACGGUCAAGUUAUGGGUUUUAAUGCAUGGUUGCUUGCAUUUCAACAACAAUUUAGAUUAUCAUAGCAGUAGUUUGUUUUAAUGAUCACAUUGGACUUGGUUGACAGGGGUGCAACGAUGAGACACGGUGGGUUUGUACCAACAAUAUGCAACAGUUAAAUUUUCUUAGGGAGAAGUUCAGAAAAUAGGGAGAAAGGGACAUUAUUUCAGUUAAUCAAGUCUCUGUAUUAGUUAUAAUUUAUGUAUUAGUUUGAAGUCUUAUUCUUGUUGUGGUCGGAAAAUAAGGUGUGAUAAAAAAAAUGCACCGGUUACAUCUUUCGUUGUUCGUAAAUCAGAAAUACAAAUCAAAAUAUUCUUUUGAAUAGGUGAAUAUUAUGCGGAAGUACCUAUCUGAGCGCGAGCUCAGAUGAGCUCUUUAUCCACAUCGUCAGUUCCCAUGAAGAUGCGCGCCAACCACUGUCUGGGUCUCUGUAUAGCGUUCCCGUAUUUCUCUUUUUCGCUGCGCACUGGCCCACCAUUGUCGGCUCUGUAUGUCACGGACUCCCGCUAGAGCCCUGCCCGCCCAGACGGCAUCUUACGGAAUGGGCCACGGCUCAGCUGCAUCGUUUUGUCCUUGUACUGCAGCAGAUUCCCAUCCCCUCUCACCUAGAAAAAACACGUAUACAUCAAGGGCAUCUUUGGUCCACCAUUUGGCUAAAAGUUAUCUGUUUUCAUACGGAUAAAGCCCAGCACCUGCUGAUCGAAAAUCCAUAUUCAUCAAAUACAAACUAAUCAAUUAACCCCUACACAGUUCAGCAUUGCUCAUUCUACGAGUAUAGGAUCGACCCAACAUAUAAAAGUCCAAUGGCAUACCGCAAAAUGCCAAUGUCAGGCGACCUCCUUGGAGGUCGUUUAAGAAACAAAAUCGCAUAAACAUAUUUUAAAGUUUCAAAAAAUUCAGAAUAAAAUCAUACAUGUUUACAUGGAUGUAUUCUACAUGUGUGUAAGUUUUGAAGAUGAAAUAUAUUAUGGUGAGAGGUACACAAAAAGACAAAUCGUGAUUUUCAAGCUGAUGAACAGUGCAAACACUGUUCACUAUUAGGAAUGCAGGAUUUUCUCUUUUUUAUGUAGCUCUCGCCGUAAUGUAUUUCAGUGUCAGAUUUUAUACACAUGUAGAAUACAUCCAUAUGAAUGUGUAGAUUUUUUUCACAAAUUUUUAAAACUACAAAAUGUAAUUUAUCAAAAUUUUUAAUAUAUCCACCUACAUGGAGGUCGUCCGCCAAAAGCUCGCGUCCAAUGGCAUACACCUUUUUCAACACAUGGCCACAAAGGAGUCCCAUGUGAGCAAACCGUCCGCACUCGCAGUCAAACUCUUCACCUCCAUCUCUGCACCACUUCUCCCUUCGCUCGGCCUUCGAAUGUAUUGUGACAUAAGUCUUGUGCCUCUCGAUCUCUAGCACUUCUCGAUCCCGCACUCAUACAAGAUAUGGCCAAACUGUUUUAACAUGGCCCUUGUGUAUAUCUUGCUUGCUUGUCGUUGUAUAGCCAGAUUAACCUCAUCAGCAGUCUCCCCUGUAUAUGAACAUGGCAGCCGAUGAAACAAAGUUAUGUACCAAAUAAUAUCUACUUCAGGACGAAGCAUCAAAAACCACAUGCAGUAAAAGAGAGAUAAGCACAUAAACACCAAUUACAAUUCUUGUCAUCUUAGCACAUGACACACCUUUGAAAUAUGACUUUGCCCCUUGUGUCCACUCUCAAAGAGCCGAGUGAUGUAUGGAUGUGUCCACAGUCUGUAUUUCUCGAGCACCAGAUGCCACCCUUCUUCGAUUUCAUCCACGGUCAACACAUGAUUCAUAACGUUGUGGAAUUCUGCUCUAAAUUCAAAAAAGCAUUGGUCAUUAAACAAUCCCAACAUUUUACCUCCACAACAUCUACUCCAACAAAGUUAAGAAUUCAGGAUGCACCUGUCAGAACAGUCCUUGAUGCCACGCCUCCCAUCAUCCGUAAAAAUUCUGCAAAUACCCACUCAAAGCUUGCCUGUGUCUAAUCACGCACCAAUACACCAGAAAAGAUCACGCGCUGGAAAUGAUUGUUCACUCCUACGGAAAGCACAAAUGGCAUGUCAUGCAGAUUAGUACAAUAGGUGGUGCCAAAUGUCACUACAUCUCCAAACAAUGAAUACUGACGCCUGCUGCUCCUUUUUGCCCACAUUAAGUUUUUUAUUCUACUCGCUUGGACACGAUAUAUGAACGAUGGAUCCUUAGAUCACAAUCGUGCAAACACCUCCAAGGUUUUCCGUACAUCGCCAUCAGCUUGUUCUCUGCUUAUUAUCUUUCCGCACAGGCUCUUAAGCGACCACUUAGUGAAUGGCACAUUCUCCAUCAAUCCAAAAAAGCUCCCGAUAAUACGGUACAUAUUUGCAAGGUUCAUGUUGUUCUGCUUUGGCUAUUUUAUCAAGUAUUGGCCAUACACAUCUAUAUAAGUGUGUGAUGGCUAGUGUAUUGUCUCACAAAAAUUAUGGGACAGCAAGCGGUUGUUCCGUUUUCUAUGCUCAGCAAUGUACCACCGGUUGUGCUAAGAAGUCUUAUAAGCGCAGGGCACUCGUACCUUCAAGAUCUCGUGUUCUCCACUCCAGCUUUACCCUGCCACAAAUCCACAAAACAUCAAAUAUUGCUAGAUUUGUAUAUCUACUGGUUACCAAAUCCAGAACACAACUCUGGAAACUUAUUGACAUCCCUUGUAAAGGGAUUAUUUAUCCACACCGAUCCUCACCCUGAUGAAAUUACUAUGAUCAAUAACAUCCUCAUUUCCUUCAAAAAAAUGCUAACGUCCUGUCAAUGACACUGCACAUUCCUACUACUGUAAUGCAAACUCCUUGAGAGUGCUGUGUAUUUCAGUGCAAGACUCGACAGCCACAUUUUACAGUUGUACUAACAUGUUUCAAAAAACCAUCUACUUCCACAUGUAAGAUUAUUAUACUUAUAUUUCUGGAAAACUAUAAAAAUCUCAUGUAUCUAAUGAUUACGUAUAUAAGUCGGCACAUCAUAUUUCCACUGGAUGCAACUUUGUGGCUGACACCACAAGCCUGUACUACUCAGAACAUGCAAGAACUGAAUACAUUUGCAACAACCAGCCCAAUCGAGUCCAUUUUUUUUAACCAAGUCCGAACUAACCCUGUAUGUCUAACCACAAAGAACAAAAUCAAAGCCAUGAGGCUGCACUCAUGUGAUCAUGUCUACUGGCCCCAGUGUUCAAUUAUUCGGGUAAGCAGUCAGAGAGCCAUGAAAGUCAGAUAGUACAUCUAUUGCAAAAACCAGCCCAAAUGAAUCUGUUUUUUAAAUUAAGAAGUCUAUGUGUCUAACCACAGAGAACGAAAUCACAGCCACGAGUCUGCAUUCAAGUCUAGUGGUGCCAAUAACCAAUUAUUCAGGUCAGCAGAUAAAAGAGUCAUGGAAUUCAGAUAGUACAACAAGAAAAACAAUAAAGCACUAACUCAUUCAAUCGAGGAACAAACCUGUUUGACCAUUGAUGCUUGCGGCAAGCUCUCACGUCUCUGCUCGGGAGGUAAAUCUUCUGCAAAGAUUUGACCGUCCGUUCUCAUGGCAGGCUGACAAAUCGAUUGGGAUUUGACCGUCACUCCUCCGCCGCGAAGACUUUGCUAGUCGCGGCCUUCGGCGGUGGAUCCGUUGAGAUUACACUCUCUCCCACCUCCUCCAGCAGGGGGAAUCUGGUUGGGCAUGAGCACGCUGAGAAAGAGAAUGGAGCCGUACGGAACCUUGGAAGAUGCAAUCUCCUACUACCUGAAGGAGAGUCGACUUGACCGCCACAUCCUGCUCCUCUAGCAUACCGGCUCCCGUCGGCGUCAUCCGCACAUGGCCGUCACCAAGCUCUCUCCUACUUCCUCAAGGACACUGGAUCUGAUUCAAGUCAAAACCAAAUCCUUUAAGACACCAAAGCCAUGCGGGUAAGAUUUGCGACGAAACCGCCAGGCAAGCAGAGAUCUACGUACCUGCCCAUUGGCUGCAUCGGAAGCUCCAUGCUGGAUCACCACCACGGCACCUUCUCUCUCCGCCGGAGACCCCUGAUUCCAAACGAGCACCGCUCUAGGUAGAGAACACUCUGGAUCCUGCGUUCAAUUUUUCUGCCUGUUCCCACAGGACGGAAAAGCAAACUUCCAGGGCCACGGAUCAGACGGGGACGCGCGAUUCUGAUCCACGUCCCACCUUCACUGGUCGAACGGACGCCAACCUGCACGUUAACCCUGGCCCACCAUCCAACCUGCGGCGUACGUAUUUGUGUACAGUGUCCAUUUUUCUAGCGACCCUCCAACGCCCAUAUAAACAAAUGGGCUCAGAUCCAGAUCGCUAUUGAACGUCCAGGAUAACAAGCUCAUUUGAGCUCGGGACCAAUUACUCCACGUCCAAUAUUAUGUACUUCUAGAAGUGCAAGAUAAAAAAUGAAGACGGAGCAUAAGGAGGAAUGGGGAAGAAACUGAGAUAUCCCUUUGCCUUCUUGCAAGGAGACGAUGGUUGUGAACAAAUUACGACUGCUCGGGGGAGAAGCAUGAGAAAUAAGUUUACUCAUGUGAAUUAUAUGCAAUCAUGUAGAACAAAUUUCUGAAUUGAAACAAUUAUUUGAUCGCUAUGUUUUUCAUCCUGUGACAAUGCACGGGCAUUAAACUAGUAAUAUUCUAAUAUGGUUGUUUGCUAGGAGCGUUAGUGAGGAAAGAUAUGCUCUCUAGCUAGACCCGUCCAACGAAUAAUCUUUCAUGCACCUAAGCUAUAUGGAAGCAAAAUAUAACGGAGAGAACUUCACCUGCUGAUAUUCAGGAGCGCGUUCGAGACCUUUUUACAUCAUUCUUGUAGUAUAAUGUAUCUUUCACGUUUGUGCAACCUAAAUGAAUGCAUAGCCUGCAGAAAAAGGUGUAGCCUUGAAAAAAAAAUAGAAGGCUGCUGCCGUCUGUUACGACUGGAGGCGUGCCGCAGCUGAGUGGCGUAAUCUCAUAGAUGAGACUUGGUUAGCAUGCACGCACUUGUUACCAAAGAUGAGCCUUGCAGGAGCAGACCGAUCGAGCCUGCAAUCAUAUCUUUGAUCUCGAUCGGCACAAAAUACCAUCGAACGGACGGACCCCGCGCACCAAAACAAAAACAAAGCAGGCGGAUCAUCGUUCCGUUCCACCCGCACAAAACCUAACAGAAGCCUCCAAUCUCUCUCUCUCUCUCUCUCUCUCGGCAACUAGGGCACAUUAUUACCAUGGCCAGGACAAAGCAAGGCCUCCCAGUUUCCACGCAGGGUAUAAGGCGGCGGAUACUGGUCGCGUCUCUCCUCCCCCGAAGCCCUACGGCCGCCGCCGGUGAAGACGUUGUCGCGAUCGAGCGUGAGGCCGCGGGCGAACCUGUGGCGAGGCGGACGCGCCGUCGCCGCUCCCUCCACCGCCUCCCGGAGGACAUCAUGCUGUGGGAGAUCCUCGUCCGCCUCCCUGCCAGGGACAUCCUCCGCUGCCGUGCAGUCUGCCGCUCCUGGAGCCGCCUCGCCUCCGCCCCCGAUUUCCUCCUUGCCCACCAUCGGUGCCAGCAAUCGCUCCCCCUCGCCGUGCUCUACGGCGGCACGGCCAGUUCAAGUACAGAGGCUGGCCACCGGGUUUUGGGGCGAGGCCGAAGCCGGCCUGUCCUCGGGUUCGAUGACCACGAUAAUGGAUGCAUGUUGCACGCCUCCUGCGACGGCCUCCUCCUGCUAAGCCUGUCUAACGGCUGCUUCAGCAUCUGCAACCCAGCCACGCGUCAGUGCGCUUCACUCCCGGACCUCCCCACCGUAGGCUACAUCAAAAUCGCGGCAAUGUACUUGCACCGCGAGUCCGGCGAGUACCGCGUCCUUUACCGUAAAGCAGCUGCGUACUACAUCCUUACGGUGCCGGUGCGGCGGAGGGGCUCGCCGAGGUGCAUCGUGGUUCCUUCAGAUACCCCUGACAUGAUGCUUUGUUAUUUGGCCCCACCCGUCGUGUUCUGCGACCACCUUCACUGGGGACCUAAUUGGCCUCACUACGAUGCCGGCCUACUUGUUUUCGACACUGUGGUCGAGUCAUUUAGGUCCAUGAGCUGCCCGGCUGGUGCAAUCGGCCGCUCCGCUCAUUUGUGCGACAUGGAUGGUUCGAUUGGCUUCAGUUGCUUGAACUAUUUGAGGUCAGUCGUCACAAUCUGGGUACUGGAGGACUAUGAGAGGGAGGUCUGGGCAUUCAAGCACCAUGUUAAAUUCCCAGCAGAGAUCUUCUGUACCAGGAGCAUUGCUUAUACACACCAUUGUGUUUUGUCACAUGAGGGAGAUGUGCUGGUCUACAAUAUUUAUGAUUGUCGCAUGUUCCACUGUGACGGAGACGGCAAGUUGCUAGAGGUAUUGCAGUGGGAAUACAACUCACAACGGUUGGAAAUUAUUGGACACAAGUUUAAAGAAAGCCUCGUCGAGCAUGAGUUGUUCGCCAGGCGAGGUGUCGCAUGUGUUGAACAACCAAGUUUCUUCCAAAGGCUCUAAAUUAAGAUAUGCAACAUAACAGUCAUUCUGAUUGAUCUAUAUACUUCCCAUCUUUAUGGAUUUACUGUGGCGAUUAGGUAGAGCUAUGAUCUAGUUACAUAGGGGAGUGUCUACAUAUAUUUGUUAACAUUUUGAUGCCCCAUACAUGCAUAGAUGCUUAAAGUAUGUAUAAUAACUAAAGAUGGAAACAAUUAAAUUAAUGCCUCUCCACUUAUGAAGUGGUCAAAUUGCACAAAUUUGAUCCAUCUAGUUAGGGAAGAAGGCUGCUACACACAUGACAAAUUCAGAAUAAUUCCCAUACGAGGCAACACAUCAAGCUGUCCAUGUGUAGAGCAAAACUGUACAGCACCGUUCAAUCUUCCAUCGUCCAAAGUUUGGGCGGGCAACUAUCGUCUGCACAAUAGCUUCGAUUUCGGAAAGUCAUGAAUCCGCCGGUGUGUAUGUACACCCCGACUAACUUUGGAACAUAAGAUGUCAUGUGUCAUAAAAAAUUGAGAAUACUCAAGGCCACGAGCAGAUUUUUUUUUACUAUGGUGUUUUUAGCAAAGAAGUGCAAUUGAUGCAUUUGUUGCUAAGUUAUAUACAAGUGAUACUCAUAUCUUGUAUCGCUCUUUAUGCUAUGUGAGAAUUGAAAGAUUGAAUUAUAUAUUUGAUAUUACCAGUAUACAUCUUGUGAAUCUUUUCUAUUGUAAUAGUGCACUACAUGUGUUUGCUCGAGGGCAAGGAGGAGAUGAUGAGCCCAAGGAGGCCAAAGCAACAUAUUCCCCAUCCAGGAGCUCCAAACAUAUGUCUCGGCGCGAUUGGAAUUGUCUAGUUACAUAGGGGAGUGUCUACAUAUUUGUUAACAUUUUGGCGCCCCAUACAUGCAUGCAUAGAUUCUUAAAGUAUGUAUAAUAACUAAAGAUGGAAACAAUUAGUUUAAUGCCUCUCCACUUAUGAAGUGGUCAAAUUGCUCAAAUUUGAUCCAUCUAAUUUGGGAAAUUCUUGAAUCGAUCAGGGUGUAGGUACACCCCCACCCCCACUAACUUCGAAAGCUAAGAUGACAUGUGUCAUAAAUGGAGAACGCGAUUAAAACUGCGCGCUUCACAUGAUUAGAAAAAGGCGCAUGUUAGGAAUUUCAGAUCUUGUUAGUUGUUUUUCUAUGUGCCCCAUUUCCCCCUUGAGGGAGGCCGGAUCGGUAAGGGGGUUGGACUCCUCCUUCCCUCCUUGGCCAGCGCAAGGGGAGGGGAGUCCUUCCCCUUCUCUUGGCACCCCCUCCUCCCCUCCAACCUAUAUAUACUAGAGGAUCAAGGCACUUUUCAACACACUAGUUUUGGAGCCUCUUCUCAUUUUUCUAGUCUUAGUUCUAGUUGGUCCAAGUUGAUUAAUUAGAGCUAGGUCUAGUUCCUCUAAUCCUCAUAAUUAGAAGCCCGGUGUGGUUCUAAUAUGAUUAUUUUGUGCAUCUUGACAAAUAUUUUCUUUCUCGAAGCUUAGGGUUCCUUUGCCUCCUGCCAGCGCCGGCGGUGGUCCACCUUGUCUCCCGUGGCCUUAGGGCCAUGGCGUCGCGGUGGAUCCCGACCCUUGCCGGUGGGAGGGCUCUGUUUUUAGGUGUUCACUUUCUUUGAGUUUUGUUAGGGUUUAUGUCAUGUUUAGGAAGACGAGACAGCGGCGGCUCCCUGAAGAUGGAAUAAGAUUCUCCCGGCCUAGUCUGGCCACAAGACGGGCAGUGGCACUAGUGAAAGAAAUAUGCCCUAGAGGCAAUAAUAAAGUUGUUAUUUUAUAUUUCCUUAUUCAUGAUAAAGCUUUAUUAUUCAUGCUAGAAUUUAUUGAUCGGAAACUUAAAUACAUGUGUGAAUACAUAAAUAAAUACCGUGUCCCUAGUAAGCCUCUACUAGACUAGCUCGUUGAUCAAAGAUGGUUAAAGUUUCCUAACCACAGACAUGUGUUGUCAUUUGAUAACAGGAUCAGAUCAUUAUAACUCAGGAUCAAAAUAGUUAGUUCAAUAUCUCUCCACUUAUGAAGUGGUCAGAUUGUUCACAUUUGAUCCAUGUAGUUUGGGAAGGACGCUGCUACACACACGACAAAUUCGAAACAAUUUUCAUACGAUGCAACAUAUCAAGCCAUCCAUGCGUAGAGCAAAAUUAGAUAUCACUAUUCAAUCCUCCAUCGUCCAAAGUUCGGGCGGGCAAUUGUCGUCCGCACAAUAGUUUCGAUUUCGGGAAGUCAUGAAUCCUCCGGUGUGUAGGUACACCCCCACUAACUUUCGAAUGUAAGAUGUCAUGUGUCAUAGAGAAUACUCAAGGCCACGAGCAUCACAAGAACAGAGUUUUUUUAGCUAAGUAGUGCAAUUGAUGCAUUUAUUGCUAAGAUAUAUUCUCAAGUGAUACGCAUAUCUUGUAUCGCUCUUUAUGCUAUGUGAGAACUGAAAGGUUGAAUUAUAUAUUUGAUAUUACUAAUAUACAUCUUGUGAAUCUUUUUUUAUUUUGAUAAUGCACUAAAUGUGUUUGCUCUAGGGCAAGGAGGAGAUGAUGAGCCCAAGGAGGCCAAAGCAACAUCCUACCCAUCGAGGAGCUCCAAACAUAUGUCUUGGCGCGAGGAUUCGGACCAUGGUCAUUGGAGUUUGAAUAUGACACCGUUGAUGGCGAGAAGAAGAGAUGCCUCACAUACACUGCCGACAACUGGGUUGAUGGUGUGGCGUCCCGGGACAUAGUACAAGCAAGAUGUAGUUGCUUCCCUCUCUUAUAAAUGUUUGUUUUGACCUGGGUCACAUAUAUUAUAAUUUACCUGACAUGAAUUUUAUUUAUCAUGUAAAAUGUACAGUCAAAUUAUGGGUUUUAAUGGUUGCUUGCUUUUCACCAAUUUAGAUUAUGAUAGCAGUAGUUUGUUCUAAUGGUCAAGGUGGACUUGAUUGAGAGGCCAUGGGUGGAAUNNNNNNNNNNNNNNNNNNNNNNNNNNNNNNNNNNNNNNNNNNNNNNNNNNNNNNNNNNNNNNNNNNNNNNNNNNNNNNNNNNNNNNNNNNNNNNNNNNNNNNNNNNNNNNNNNNNNNNNNNNNNNNNNNNNNNNNNNNNNNNNNNNNNNNNNNNNNNNNNNNNNNNNNNNNNNNNNNNNNNNNNNNNNNNNNNNNNNNNNNNNNNNNNNNNNNNNNNNNNNNNNNNNNNNNNNNNNNNNNNNNNNNNNNNNNNNNNNNNNNNNNNNNNNNNNNNNNNNNNNNNNNNNNNNNNNNNNNNNNNNNNNNNNNNNNNNNAACGAUGAGACAUGGUGGGUUUAUACCAACAAUAUGCAACAGUUAAAUUUUCUUAGGGAGAAGUUCAAAAAAUAGGGACAAAGUUACAUUUCAGUUAAUCAAGUCUCUGUAUUACUUAUGCACAAAGAAAAAAAAUGUAUUAGUUUGAAGUCUUAUUUUUGUUUUCAGCGGAAAAUAAGGUGGGAUAAACAUUUUUUGCACCAUGUACAUCCUUCAUUGCUCGCAAGUCAGAAAUAAAAAUAAAAAUAUUCCUUUGUAUCGAUAAAUAUUAUAUAUUUGUAGAAGUACAUGAUAAAAAAUGAAGACGGAGCAAAAGGAGGGAUGGGGAGAAGCUUAGAUAUCGCUUUGUCUUCUUGCAAGGAGACGAUGGUUGUGAAGAAAUGACGAUAGCCCGGGGGGAGAAGUAAGAGAAAUCAGUUUAUUCAUGUGAAUGAUAUGCCAUCAUGUUCGACAAAUUUCUGAACUGAAACAAAUUAUUUGAUUGCUAUGUUUUUAACCGCGGCAAUGCACAGGCAUUAAACUAGUAAUUUUGUAAUAUGGGUGUCUGCUAGGAGCGUUAGUGAGCAAAGAUAUGCUCUGUAGCUAGACGCGUCCAACAAAUAAUCAUUCAUGCACCUAAGCCAUAGGAGCCCCCGAAGCAAAAUACUCCCUCCGUCCUACAAUAGGACGUUUUAUGUUUUUUGAACAUUCUUGUAUUAUUUUUCACUGUUGUGCUACCUGAAUGAAUGCAUAGCCUGGGGGAAAAUAAAUAUAGGUCGCGCGAUGACGGUGUGUGCUGCUGCCGUCUGCUACGACUGGAGGCGUCGCUGUGCCGCAGCUGGGUGGCGUAAUCUCACAGACCGCCCCUGCGGAGUCCAGAGCAUCAAUUCUACGAAUAGAGUUGCUACUUGGGCUGAAUUUGAAUUCAACCCACACCUAGAGGAAUAAAAAGAGAGAAAUCAUACUGUGAAGAGUAGAUAAAUUAUAGGGAGCCAUGAUUGGAGCCUGUCAGCACUAUCACAAUUGACCCUUUUAUUAUGGAGUUGUGUUUGUUAUGGUGCGGGGAGAUGAUGCCUCACCAUUGAACGAGUUGUGUGCCGCCGUCACUACAACAAGAACCUGCCUAUACCAACGCAUAUCUACCAACGAUAUGAAAAUAUGUGUUGUUUGUUUCAACCUCCCACCUCCCCGUACUUAUCCCACCUCCCCAACUUAGAGCAUCUCCAACAGCCGCGCUAAACUAGCGCCGCGCCGCAAAAUAGGCCUUUUUAGUGCGCGCGCAACACGGCGGCUCGCUCCAGCGGGCGCGCAAAAACGGCGCGCGCGCGAUAACGGGUUGGGCGCGCGGUGAAAAACACUAAUCCGCGCGGUGUAUUUGGAGCGCGAGCUACAGCGCGUGGCACACUCGAGCGCUCGCGUCCGCACUCUCUCCCUCUCCUCGUCCUAUGCCCCGCGCGCGCCGGCGCCGGCGCCCUGCCCCCCGCCAUGGACGCGCACACCGGCGCCCCGAUCACCCCGCUGUACAUCCGCGACCCCCCCGCCGCCGCCGCCGCAGCCGCCGNNNNNNNNNNNNNNNNNNNNNNNNNNNNNNNNNNNNNNNNNNNNNNNNNNNNNNNNNNNNNNNNNNNNNNNNNNNNNNNNNNNNNNNNNNNNNNNNNNNNNNNNNNNNNNNNNNNNNNNNNNNNNNNNNNNNNNNNNNNNNNNNNNNNNNNNNNNNNNNNNNNNNNNNNNNNNNNNNNNNNNNNNNNNNNNNNNNNNNNNNNNNNNNNNNNNNNNNNNNNNNNNNNNNNNNNNNNNNNNNNNNNNNNNNNNNNNNNNNNNNNNNNNNNNNNNNNNNNNNNNNNNNNNNNNNNNNNNNNNNNNNNNNNNNNNNNNNNNNNNNNNNNNNNNNNNNNNNNNGCCGCCGCCGCCGCCGGAAACCCUAGCGCGGCGAGCGCUGGCGUCGCCACCGCCGGAGCUCCGCCGAGCGUCGGCCUCGCGCACAGCCUCUUCUUGCCGCCGCGGAUGACUACGGCGCUGGCGCCGGGUGGCGUCGCGCCGGCGCCAUCCCGUGCCGCCGCCGCACCGUCGAAGAAGGUACCGAAUGCGGCGCGAGCGAAGAAGGGCAAAACAUCCGCGAAGAAGAACAAGGCGGCGGACGGCUCCGGCAUGGCGAGGGGAAAAAAGCUUGCAGGGCGUUCGACGGCCGCGGCGGCUACCAAAGCGCCGGCGAGCUCACUCGUUGAGCCGGCCGCCGACGCGCACCACGUGUUCGAGGAAAUGCCCCCAAGGUGAAAAAAUUUCCAAGUAUUUUUUUCUUCUUAUUUGUUCAAUGCAUCAUCAUUUUACAUAUAGAUAGCUUAUUUGCAUUGUUCAAAAAAAUUGUAGUCUCAACGAUGAUGCAUACAUGUCCACUAUGGGUGUUGGGUCCAACAAUUCGCAUUGGUCUCAAACCAAUGACAUCCAUUUCGAAGACCAUGAGUUUGAGGUGGACGAGGAGGGUGAGAGAAUUGUCGAGGCGCCGAGAGGAAGAGCGGGCAAUUACUCCACCACCGAUGACAAGUUACUAUGCUACACUUAUUUGCAUGUGUCGAAGGAUCCAUCCAUUGGAGGUGAUCAAAGUAGAGACGCGUAUUGGGGGCGAAUGACAGAACACUAUAAUGCUCACAACAAGAGUGGAAUUUACCGCUCCGAGAGAUCACUUCGGUCCCGAUGGUCGACAAUCAACUCGGAUUGUCAAAAGUGGGCGGCCGCGCAAAAGUCGGUGGACAAGAUUAACCCAAGUGGCACAAAUGAGGAUGAUCGAGUAAGUGGCAUCUCAUAUAUGUUCAUCAUACUUGUUUUUGGUGACCGAAGUGCUAACUUGUUUUGUUUUUCUUGUAGUACAACAUUGCACAAGACUUGUUCAAAAAUGAGACAAGGACAACCAAGAAGGGGAAGAUCAAGAAAGGCAGGAUCUUUACCUUGCCUCAUUGUUAUGAAGUGUUAAAGGAUGAUGAGAAAUGAAAGAAGCGUGAUGGUUUGGAGGAUUUACAUUUGAGCAACAAACGGAAGCGAGCAAUUGAGAUGAAUGAUUAUGAGGAGGAGGAGGAUGCAUCAAGUGAUGACGGCAAGAGAAGCCCCACACCCAACUCGGUUUCAUACUCGAAGCAAAAACGACCGGAUGGGUGCAAGAAAGACACCACCAAAAAGAAGAAGAAGAAAGGAGAUGAUGAGCUCAAAAAUGCUAUGGAAGCUAUUGUGAAGGAAAGGGUCGAAGCGAAUGAGGUGAGGAAAAUGGCAAGGAACCAAGAUGCCGUGGCCGAGGAGAGGAGGUUGGCGGCCGAGGAGAGAAGGGUGGCGGCCGAGGAGAGAAAGGUGACUUUGGAAGAGAGGAAAGUGAGCAACGAGGAGCGAGCUAAGUUGUUGGAAUGGGAGAAGCACUUGUUCUUCAUGGACACAUCUAACCUCAAUGCGGCGCAAAAGGAGUAUGUCAAUCUUGCCCAACAAGAAGUCUUGAUCCGAAAAAGAGCCUUGGUUCGUGCAAUGAGUGGCGAUGGCCUCGGCGCCAUGGGAGGCAUGGGUGGCUUCGGCGCCAUGGGAGGCGGUGGCCUCGGCGCCAUGGGAGGCAUGGGUGGCCUCGGCGCCAUGGGAGGCGGUGGCCUCGGCGCCAUGGGAGGCAUUGGUGGCUUUGGAGGCAUGGGAGGCAUGGGUGGCUUUGGAGCACCCUCCGAUGCUAUGGCCGCCAUGGGAGGCAUGGGUGCACCUCCGGCCGCCAUGGGAGGCAUGGGUGGCUUUGGAGCACCCUCCGAUGCUAUGGCCGCCAUGGGAGGCAUGAGUUUUGCUUCUCUCAUGGCAGGCAUGGGUGCACCUCCGGCCGCCAUGGCUUCUCACACACAUUCCCAUGAAGAUGCCGUUGAAGAUCUUGCCAACACCGUCGGAGCUUCACAUGAUGCGGUGCGUGAUGCGGUGCGUGAUGAGGAUAGGGAGGAAGGUUCAUCUUUGGAGGCGGAAGAGUCGUCUUCGGAAGAUGAGGACGAAGACGAAGAAGAGGAAGAUGAAGAUGAAGCUUGAUGUGUCUUUCAUGUCUUGAACUUUUAGUUUGCAUUUGAACUUGGUUGGAUGAACUUGUGGGCAUGAUUUUGAUGAACUUGUGGGCAUGAACUUUUAUUCAUCAACUUGUUUGUGUCAAAUUUUACAUUUCAUUUUUGUCCAAAAUAUCCAUAUAUGCAAAAUGCCCGGCGAGUUGCGCGCGCUGUAUUUUUGCGCUCCGCUGGAGCGGCGCGCGCGCGCUGCAUUAUGGCGCGGCUGCUGGAGCCAGCGCAGGCGGGCACACAAAACCAGCCGCAGCGCGCGCGCUAAAAGGUUUUUUGCGCUCGGCGCUAUAGCGCGGCUGUUGGAGAUGCUAUUAGCGCUAACCUCCUCACCCUAGAAAAAAAUUCUAACCUCCCUAUAGCCGCACCUCCACCCAGUUUUUCCUAUGUGCAAUCUCUAUCCUCCCCUCCCCUCCCCUCCCCUGGUUCCCCUCUCACCCGAGCUCCAUGACCAUGGCGCCCCGUGGCACCACCGAUUCCAACAAGCUCUUGCGAUCUCCCGCGAUUUAUCUCACCAUCCCGGCUGCCCCUCAGCCCUCUCCUACGAUCCUCCACCACCGCGACGACCUUUGUGGUCCUGCACAUGCCGUUGCAGGAACCCUAGCCGCCAUGGGUCGCCGGUGGACUCCUGCGUAGCCCUCUACCCCGCGUCUCAGUAUCCGCCGCUGCCAGCUCGGGCUCGACAGUGCUGCUCCGCCUCGGCUACCUUACCUUCGACAUCGACAGCUUAGUAAGGCACUUCGCUCCACUACUCGUGCCCUCUGGUUCUUUGUGGUGACAUGGCCUUCGUGCCAUGGUCGAUUCUUUGCUGGAAAUCAUGACCGUGAUCUACUCUACCGAGCGUUAGGGUGUACUGGUGUCAUACUUCACAGCUGGAUAAUAUCCCAACACGGUCAGUGACCUUGCCGGAGGCUAAAAAAAUUCAGUUCACGAUUCUAGCCAUUUCAGUUUCAUGCUUGCAUAUCUCAGUGUGCUACUGCUAUCUAGUUCUGCACAUGCAAGCCAGUCGUUUCUAGUUGGGUUAAUCUAUUGUGAUGUAUUGUUGAGUGAUUCACCACUUGUCCGUAUGUGUUAAUUCCGGAAGAAUGCAUGCGUCCUUAUUUUCUCAGUAGUUGUUUCUUGCUGCUAUGUGUGUGGAUGAGUCCUUAACAAUUUCCCUGUCACACAUUGUGUAAUACCUUAAGAAUAAGUCUCAGAUGCCCGUCCUAAUAUUUCACUUGACUAUAUAUAUAAUCCUUAAUUUCAUUUUUCCAUUGCAAGUUCUAAAACUGAGGGCCNNNNNNNNNNNNNNNNNNNNNNNNNNNNNNNNNNNNNNNNNNNNNNNNNNNNNNNNNNNNNNNNNNNNNNNNNNNNNNNNNNNNNNNNNNNNNNNNNNNNNNNNNNNNNNNNNNNNNNNNNNNNNNNNNNNNNNNNNNNNNNNNNNNNNNNNNNNNNNNNNNNNNNNNNNNNNNNNNNNNNNNNNNNNNNNNNNNNNNNNNNNNNNNNNNNNNNNNNNNNNNNNNNNNNNNNNNNNNNNNNNNNNNNNNNNNNNNNNNNNNNNNNNNNNNNNNNNNNNNNNNNNNNNNNNNNNNNNNNNNNNNNNNNNNNNNNNNNNNNNNNNNNNNNNNNNNNNNNNNNNNNNNNNNNNNNNNNNNNNNNNNNNNNNNGUGCGUGCGUGCGUGCGCGCGCGCGCGCGUGCGCAUGUGUGUGUGUGUGUGUGUGUGUGUGUGUUGGAUUGACCAAAACAUUGUCUCCCUUACUUUACUAAUCACUGACUCAGUUUCAAUUGUAGAUCCGCCUGUUGAAUUCAGUGUGAAGUUUUUGUUUGAUAUUUUCAUUGCAGUGCUUCAAGAAUGGUGUGGAGGCAGCAAUGCAGAAUUAACCAGCGACGACGAGCAACAUUGUAGCUUUUCUCAUCAUGCCCACAUGUUGUGGAGCUGCCGACCUGCCCAAGCCGCCCUCAAUCAGUGCCAACUCCGCGAGAGAAAACUAUGGUAUUGGUCUCGUUCUUUUCGUUAUUACAUUGUAAGGUUCUCCGUUCCCAUAGGAUUUAAGAUGGUGAAGUUACUGGAUGUAGGAAUUAUGGUAUACUAUGACUUCAACACAUUUUGUUGUUUCUUGACUUGUUUUAGUAAGAACUUCAGUGCUCGAGUCAUAACCCUGUACAAUUUCACCUUGCCCCAAUUACUCAAUCAGAAGUUCAGAACUUGUGGUAUUCAACAUGUUGUUGGCCCUCAACUUCCGUCAAUUAGCAUCUGAUUCUUCUCAAGACCAUGAAAUAUUUAUUCUCACAGGUUCUUCUUUGGUCAAUUUCUCAGAUUAGGAGUUGAGUAAACAUCAAUAUGCUCAAGGUAAUGCACCCUACUUUGCAUAGUGAACGAUACUGGGCCAUUUUGAUUGCAAAACAUCUUUGAUAAACGGAAGAUGAUGCAACAACCCAGCUUUGGUUUAUAGAUUGCGGAGAGAUUGGCCAAUCUAAAAAAGAAAAGAUGGAUGCCAAGGUGAACAGUGGUGUGAUAUCUGCAGCUGGGACAUUGAAAAGUUUGUAUAAGUUCUUCUGGCUUUCUCUCAAAUAUUAAUUUCUUUGUACGUGUGCGCUUAUGUAGAAACAUCAAAUGUCUUAGGUAUCUUCUAGAAAAUCACGUGUUGAUGAUAUUUCAGCAAAUAAGUGUGUAAUUUCCUUCUCAAUCUACAUUACUACUUAUGCUAUUUUGGUGCAAUGCUAUGUCUGAUAUCUUAUGACAGUCCUUGUAGAUUUUAUGCAUAUGUAAAUAUUGUACUAAACUGAUCUGUAUGAUUAAAUACGGAGUUCCUAAGGGUCCUAUAGGUUGGAGAGACUAGUAUCCUAUUUAGUCAAGUUAGUAACUUCUUGUUCUAAAGUUUACUCUAUUACUUGUGUUCUAAAAUUUACCUUGUUUUACUAGAUUAUCUUGUUACUAAAUUUUUGCAUUGUUGUACUAAAAUUUGCCUUGCUACUGUUGUACUAAGAUCUAACCAUUGAGUAGGAAGGAAGAGAUUAAGGGAGCAAAAAUAAUGAGGAAGGAGCGCUCAGAAGAAGUUAACUAAAAAUCCACUUAAGGUUUGACCUUCACGUAACUCACAACUCAUAAUCAGAUAUUCAUGACAAUUGCACCAUUAACUGUAUAUAGUAUAUUGUACUUAAUGCUAUUAUUGUUCCUUUUUAACUUGAUGCUUAUAUUGUUCCUUUUUAACUUGAUGCUUAUAUUGUUUCUUUGAGCAUAAAGUAUUUUAAAAUUGCUGAAACCUUGCAUCUAUUUGUUCAGGAGAACUGCGGAUCUUUCUAUGAAAAUGAAGGUUGUGUUGUAUGUCAGCACAUGUUUUUUUUCAAAGGAAGUACCUCAUAUCUUACAUUCUCUGUUUGCUUCAAGUUUACUUGAACUCAAUUGACAUCUAGCAGAUUUCUUCAUAAAAAAAACAAGGAUCAAAAGUGUGUAAGAUGUAGGAUAUUGCUCCACUUUUCUGCCUGCAAUGUUACUAAUGUGAUAGCCUUCAACAUUUGUAUGUUGCUCCUCUACAUUUUUGUGCUCUGUUAACCUGAUUUUCUCUAGCGUAAAUUACUCAUCUCAUUAUUUGUUUUUGUAGAUCGCUGAGAUAAAUGGACGAUGCAUGGCUCACAUGUUGAUUGCAAGGCAGAGAAUGGGGAUAAUUAGAAUGUCAUUUUCAGGAAAAUGUUUGAAACAUUAUAGUUGAUUCGAAGGUCGAGAAUUUUGCUACUAGUAGAUAGCUCACAUCUUGUAAUGUUUGGAUCGUGUUUAGUGUAAUGCAACAUAGUUGAUUUAAUAUAUGAGAUCUUUCCGCUUAUUGAACUAUGCCUCAUGUACACGAUAUGUAUUGAACUAAUAAUUGUGGAUGGCAAUGUAUAAAAUAUCAUCAAUUAUUCAUGCUAUGUACCAAAGCCUCUAGUCGUUGCAAUGAUGGUAGCCACCAACGCAUAUGAAGUGUUGUAAGAUUCUAACUCUAUAUGUUGCUACCUUACAACGCUUCUACAUGGCGUUUACCAACGCAUGUAUAUACGUUGUAGUAGACUCUAGCAACGCCACCAACGACAACGCAUAAUAACCCUUUGGUGUAGGCUGUACCAACGCAUAUAUGGAUGUACGACAACGCAUUGAUGCGUUGCUGUAGGGGGGUUCUUGUUGUAGUGCGUCAUGGUCGAGUGCUCGACCUAUUCCCUGUGGCGGGGCCUGGCAUGGGCGAGGGGCGGCUCGAUUACACCUCCGUGUACCACAAGGGCAUGUACCACUUGUUCUACCAGUGCAACCUGUUGGGCGCAACGUUGCAGCAAGCUUUGGUACACAGGAUAACCUGCAUAGACACAAAGAAAAAACAUGUUGGCGCCUGCAUCAUAGUACAUAAGAGAACAAUAUGACGCGCCAUGUACAAUCCCAAAACAAUGUGGUGUCAUUUUUAUAUUUUCAAUCAAAUAAAGGGUAAAAUCAGAAUACCGAGGUCAAUUUUUUAUGCAGAAUCUUGGCUCCGAAACUCCAGUGAUUUCUCUAUUUAAAAAAACAAUUAAGAGGUGCCUCCAUCAGUUUAAAAAAUAACCCUUGCAUGUAUAUGCUAGAACACAGUAUUGCUUAGUAAAAUUUCGUACAAAACAAUUUCAGGCAGGGCUGAACAAAAAAGACGAAUUGGUGGUCUAGAAUUGCAAACAACACCAAGUCUAUUUGCUAUCAUACAUAAAUAUGAUUAUUUUGUGCAUCUUUUUUUUUACAAAAGGAAGAUGACCCCCGGCCUCUGCAUCUGGGCGAUGCAUACGGCCAUUUUAUUAAUUAUUCUCACAAGACCUUACAAAGCCAUACAACAGCAAGACUAAAGUCACCGUCUAAGCAACAACGUCGCUACACCUAUCCAAUUGAUGAAGGGGCGCUGAUAGCCUGGGCCUAAUACCAAACAGACAUCACAGCCAAACCUAAACAUCUAAGACCUGAGGUCCCAACCAGGACGCCUGCCUGGUAUGGGGCACCUACGAGUCCGGCGCACUCCUCAACCAGGGCGCACUCCUCGAUUAUUUUGUGCAUCUUGACCAAUAUUUUCUUUCUCAAAACUUUUAUUUCAUUAGUCAAGUAGCACUAGAAUACAGCACUAGCAGGCUAACACCAGACUUUUGCUGUAAUUGUACUCGCGACAAGUUGUAGGUCAAAUACUACAUACAAGAACAAAAUUUGGUUGUGUCUCUCUCAUUUUUUUUUUUCUGGUCAGAUAGUUGGGAAAUACUGUGAGGGCUUCCCGCACUGUCCCGGUAAUUCUUUUACUGAAAUCAGACAUUCACCUAAUUGUGAAAAAUCACGCAUAAUACUCCCUUGCACCACCAUGGGAUCCUUGCAAAGCUACCUUGAGCCGCUCCUCCCUUGCAUGGUUGCACUCCUGCACUGCCAUUGGGGAUCUUCACGGAGCUAGGCUGGAACUGUUCCUCCCAUGCAUGGUUGCACCGCGCGCCAUGAUAUACUUAGGGCGCGUUCAGUGUCGCUCCGCUCCCGGAGCGGAUGGAGCUGGAGUUAUAAUCCCUGGAGCGAGCUAACAACUGCUCCGUAGAUUCUAGGAUUUGAAGGAGCGGUGGACUGCCGAACGCGGCCUUACAUUGGGCUUUUGUAUCUCGUGAUUCCUCCUCGCUCCGCCUACCAUCUCUGGUCCGUUAUGACAUGUUGCAGUAACAUCACAACUUGAUCUUAAUUAGGUCUACAAACUUCUCCCUGGAAAUUAAUUAUGGGAAAGAAGCCUCUGCCGCCGUCCUCUGUCUCUGUGGCUCAGCUUAAGUUUGAAUUUCAUCAGGUUUGUACUCAAGGUUGUUUUUCUCAUGGAAAAAAAAGUAAUCUCUGAUGUGAACUAAAGAUUAUAUGUUCAGAAAUAAACUGGAUUUUGAUUGUGUAAAUUGGUAGCUGAUAUUAUUCUACUGCCUGGGUCAUAAGCAAACAAGUGCCACCAUGAUAUUAUUUUUCACCGUUGCGCUACGUACCUGAAUGAAUGCAUAGCCUGCAGAAAAAAGUGUAGCCUUGGGGAAAAAACAGAAGGUCGCGCGAGGACGGCGUGUGCUGCUGCCGUCUGCUACGACUGGAGGCGUCGCCGUGCCGCAGCUGGGUGGCGUAAUCUCACAGACCGCCCCUGCGGAGUCCGUUGGUUAGCAAUGCAUGCGCUUGUUAUCAAAGAAAGAUGAGCCGUGCAGCCGUGCAGGAGCAGACCGAUCGAGCCUAUACAAUCAAUCAUACACGCACCCAUGAUGCAUAUAUCUUCAUCUCGGCACAUACAUACCAUCGGACGGACGGACCGCGCGCACCAAAACAAAGCCGGCGGAUCAUCGUUCCGUGCCACCCGCACAAAACCUAACUCAAGCCUCCAACCCCUCUCUCUCUCUCUCUCUCGGCAACUAGGCAGUGGCGAAGCCAGCGUGUAGGCGUUGGGUUCACUUGAACCCAACGAUCUUUGCACGUCACGCCCAUGUAUACACGUAUUCACCUGCAUGAACCCAAUACAAAUGCACGCUUGAACCCAUCAAAGCUAGUACGCACGAGCAAGAAGCCUCUUAGCCCAUGGCAAAUUUAUUAUAACAUGAUGAAUAGCCCAACAAAAAGCCUACAGCUAUUUCUCAAAACAAAAUAGCCCAAUACCAUAUGAUACAAUCCACGCAGCAGGCUCGACAGUUGACCGCACGAUUCCAUAUCAUCCAUGUACGCAACACGCCGCCGCUUAUCAUUUCCCCCAGUUCGUUUCCCAACCCGGCCCCUCGGUGUUUCAUCUCCAUGUUCCCCAUCGCGGCGCCAGAUCGGCAGCCUCCGGCAGCAAGGCAAGAACAGUAAGUCGGCCGUCGGCGGUGGUUGGCAAUUGAAGUCCAAACUGAACGUAAUCAGAUCACUUUGUCCCUGCUGUGUGGUAUUACCUUUUACCCUAGUUUUCUGAUUAUUUUUCCCUGAACUUUGAUUGGUCUAUACUAUGGUAUGCAAUAAUAUUUCUCAAAAAGAAUUUGAUCACCUGAUUGAGAUAACGAUGCUGGCACUUCUAGGCCAUCCGUUAUAUGUAAUUAAGCAGUACAUCGAAUGCCGCUGCUGCAAAUAAUCUCCCAAAGUUUUCAAUUGACAGAUAAAUUACUGCCAUAUGACGUGUUUGAUCUUUUCAUGAUAAUGAAAGAUCGAAAAGCUACACACUAAGUGUGAGUGGCUUUACAUGCUUCUUUCGCUUGAUGGUACUUACUUUGAAUUUGUCAAACUAACUUGUCAAUUUUUCCAAUAUUUUCAGCAAGAUGAGAAGCUGACCAUGAAGCUAUGAAGUUAUUUGGGCACUACCAUGUUUAUAAAAUGAAAAUAAGUGAUUUUAUAAUUUCAUCCAACUGGUAUGUCUUGCACUCUUUAGCUUUAAAUUUAUCAACAUCAUAAUCUGUUUGUUACACUAUUGUUGUAAGAAUUUGUCAAAAAGACUCUUGUUCUAAUAUAGUUCGAAAUUAAACUUUACACUUAAUUAAUUCGUACCAAAUUAAUUCUCACAGUGAGGUAAUGAGUGAACCCAUUGGCCAAAUUUUCUGGUUCCGCCCCUGCAACUAGGGCAUUACGAUGGCCAGGACAAAGAAUGGCCUCCGGAUUUACACGCAGGGUGUACUCCGGCGGAUACUGGUCGCGUCUCUCCUCCCCCGAAGCCCUACGGCUGACGCCGAGGCAGAGCAGGGGGCUGCCACGGACGAUGGCGUCGCCAUCGAACGUGAGGCCGCGGGGGAACCUGUGGCGAGGAGGACGCGCAGCCGCCGCCGCGCCGCCGCUCUCCACCGCCUACCGGAGGACAUCGUGGUGUGGGAGAUCUUCGUCCGCCUCCCGGCCAGGGACAUCCUCCGCUGCCGCGCGGUCUGCCGCUCCUGAAGCCACCUCGCCUCCGCCCCCGAUUUCCUCCUCGCCCACCACCAGCGCCAGCCGUCGCUCCCCCUCGCCGUGCUCUACGACUGCACAGCCAGUUCAAGUACAGAGGUUGCUGGCCAACCAGUCUUGGGGCAAGGCCGCUGCCGGCCUCUCCUAGAGUUCUACGACUACGACGGCUGCAUGCUGCAUGCCUCCUGCGACGGUCUCCUUCUGCUAAGGCUGUUUGACGGCCGCUUCACAAUCUGCAACCCGGCCACACGUCAGUGUGCUUCAAUCCCGGAACUCCCCACCGCAUGUUACAUCUGGCACUGUACUUGCACUGCAAGUCCGGCGACUACCGCGUCCUUUACUGGGGAGGAGGUGCGUACUACAUCCUUACAGUGGGGUUGCGGCGGAAGCACUCACCGAGGUGCAUCCGAGUUCCUUCAGAUACCCCUACCAUGAAAUUUAGUUCUUUGGCCCCGCCCGUCGUGUUCCGCAACAACCUUCACUGGGAACCUGACUGCCCUCACUAUGAUGCCGGCCUACUUGUUUUUGACACGGUGGUAGAGUCAUUUAGGUCCAUGCGCUGCCCGGCUGGUGCUACCGGCCACUUUGCUCAUUUGUGUGACAUGGAAGGCUCGAUUGGCUUCAGUUGCUUGGACUAUUGAGGUCAUUCGUCAAAAUCUGGGUACUAGAGGACUAUGAGAGGGAGGCCUGGGCGUUCAAGCACCAUGUUGAAUUCCCAUCGGAGAUCUUGCGUUGCAGUAGCAUUGCUGACACAAAUCAUUGCGUUUUGUCUCAUCAGGGGGAUGUGCUGGUCUACAAUAUUUAUGACCGUCGCAUGUUCCACUAUGACGGCGACGGCAAGCUGCUAGAGGAAUUUUAGUUGGAAUACAACUCACAGCGUUUGGAAAUUAUUGGACACAAGUUUAAAGAAAGCCUCGUCGAGCAUGAGUUGUUCUCGAGGCGAGGUGUCGCAUGUGCUGAACAACCAAGUUUCUUCCAAAGGCUCUAAAUUAAGGUAUCGCAGCAUAACAAUGAUUCUGAUUGAUUUAUAUACUUCACAUCUAUAGUGGAUUUACUGUAGAGAUUGGGUAGAGCUGAUUUAUAUGCUUAAAGAAAUAUUUUUGUAAACAAACGUCAGGGAUAAGCAGGUUACGGUGCUGCAUAUUGCUUUCACAAAAAUCUUGGUAGCCUACUAUCCACAUUUGCCUUCAUCAUUAAGCUUGCAGAAGAAAGAAGAAACCAAGUAAAUAAAUGGAUUGCACUAGGGGCAGAUGUUGUGAAGAUCAAACCGUUGAUGCUGGAUUAAUUUUCCUCUAUAAAGUCCUUUGAAAUUCCUUAUGAAGUGGUCAAAUUGCUCAAAUUUGAUCCAUCUAAGUUGGAAAUUUCUUGAAUCAAUCAGGGUGUAGGUACACCCCCACUAACUUUGGAAUGUAGGAUGACAUGUGUCGUAAAUGGAGAACGGGGUUAAAACCGUGAGCUUCACAUGAUUAGAAAACGGCGCGUGUCAGAAAUUCCAGAUCUUGUUAGUUGUUUUUCUAUGCGCUUCAUGAAGCAUGAAGAUAAACUCGGCAAGAGUAUAAAUGAAAGACAAUUGUAAUGUGUGUGUCCAAUGAUAAAUGUUAGAGUUCUUGGAACAUUAAAGUGGUAGGAAAUACCCAAGCCUCUAUUCCAGGCAAGGUUUUUGCCCCAAGAUUCACCCACUUGUGUGAAAAUGACCCAUGGUGAAUUGUAUACAUGACACAUGCUAUUAUUUUGGUACCUGGCUGUGUACAAGCAUGUGGUGGAUUCAGGUUUUUGUUUGAAAUUUUCUCAACAUGUGUAACUGUUCUUUUGGUUCGGCUAGCGUUUUAAGUUAUAGGUGGGCCAUCUAGGUUGGUUGACUUUGCAGCCCAAGAUUUCCUCUGUGCUUCUGCGGGCUUGCUUUGCCUUUCGGUCUCUUCCUUUCUUAUCUGGGCUGCACGUGGCAUCUCCGCACGGGUAAAAAUACUUCAGACUCCUUCUGGUCUGGUCGUUUCCUUCGGCUGCACGCAUGCGUUGUUGCUGCCGUGUGAUCGCUCGCUUGCGUGUGCUCGAUCCUUCUGUCGGUGCCGCCUUGGUCGCGCCCUCCAGAGACGCCCUCGCUCGAUGCAUCGCCUCUCUUUUUACAUGCGGCCACCGCCUUGUCGCCCUGCCGUGCUUCCCAUCCCGAAGGCUCCGGCAGAAUCCAGUGCCACAACGUUCCACCGUCUUGUCCGGAUAUAAAAUCCUCUCUGCCUCUCCUCUGUAUCCCACAGCAUCACCCGCGUUUUGCAAAUCCUCAUGGUGCAACAACCAUCAUCCCCGUCCUGGCCACCGGCCCGUUCCUCGCCGGAGCCUCAACCGCCAGGUUCCGUCUCUCCUCCCAGUGCCGCCGUUGUAUGCCCUUCGCGUGACCAGGUCGAUGGCCGGCGGGGCUGCCCGAGGAGGCCAUGCCAUGAAGGGCCUUUCUGCCGCGGCCAGGUCGCUGCAGAUCCCCGUGACUACCCUCGCAAACCCCAACUCUUGUCGAUACACGCCCAUAGGCCAUGGCCACCGCCGGCGCCGGCGUCUUGAGGCGCUUUGGCUAGGAUGGUGGAGGUUACCGUGGAGGCAUGGGCGAUGGUGGGACGAAUAGAGGCGGCGUGAUGGUGGACCUGGUGGCUUCUGGUUCGUCUGGCUUCUGCCAGGGGCGUAUUUUGCGUCGUCCUCCUGGGGUUCAAGCGGCCGUCAUUAAUCGGGUGUGUAAUGGUGGAAGGCGUCCUGCUGCUCGAGAUGCUGCCGUUCUGCUGCGUUAAUGAGGGAGGGUGCGUCAAUGAUCAGCUGUCCGGUGUUCACUCAUCGCGUCGGGCUUUGCAUGCCGGUUGGCGUUCUUCUCGCCAUGUAGAUCGUGGUUAGUUUAGUCUAGCUGUUUGCUUCUGCGUUGUUUUUUCUUCUUUCUUUUCUUGCGUGAUUAUUGAGUGUUGCGUGUUUGUUUUCUUGUUUUGUGCAGGAGCUGUGUCUUCAUCGCACGAAGAUUUUCCUGUCAAUAGUUCGUACCGUUGGCGUCGUCCCGGCGGCGGCUACACAUGAAGCCGAGCGGGAGGCUGAAGGGGAGGACAACAGCUGAAGCACAGACUCCGGCGGCGACUACCAUGCUACAGAGGCGACGCUGAGGCAUCGGCUCUGGCUGCAGGAAAGCUUUGUGGUGGUGAAGAAGUUGGCAGACCCAGAGGAUGACUUCCGGGCGAGCAUCGUGGUACGCAUAUGCAAGCAGGAAAAAAAGAAAAAAAUGCCUAGACCAGACAGCGAGAGAACAAAACGAUCUCUAAUUCAUAUGCAUGUAGACACAUCAUCUCCUACUCCCAUGCACGUGGUCACAUCAAUCCAAAAUUCACGCUCAGCCAAUACAUGUAGCAACUAAUCCUGUAGGGUGGACAAAGAUCAUUUAACAAAACAAAAAAAAAAGACACGAAUUGCUUGGUGCAUGCAACAACCGUGCCAUCAAGCAUCCCAGAUUAGAAUGGCGGCUCCACAAUUUUCAUCUACUAUCCAAAAUAUAACCAAAAAAAUCAGUCACUUUAAUUAGAAAGAAAGAAACCACUACAAGGAUUUCGGUCUAUUGUAACAAAAAUUAUUGCUACAACUAUCUUUUGUUGCAAUAAAAUGCUAUAUUAACACAAAAUUCCAGUUUGUGGUAACAGGAUCCACAUAUUGCCACAAUUUUUUUCAUCGCGCUAAGUACUUAUUUUGUUGCAAUAGAAGCCAUGUAUUGCGACAAGCUGCAUCGUCGUUGCAAUAUGAUAGUGCUAUUGCGACAGUUCCGUCUCGUUGCAUGAAUGUGUCAUCUUGUUGCAAUAAAGGCUAGGUAUUGCAACAAAGUACAUCUUUGUGGUUAUAUUUAGACAUAUAUUGCAACAAUCCUGACUUGUGGCGCUAGUCAUAGAUACUGUUGCAAAACCAUGGCUUUGUAUUGCAACAAAGCAUGUAUUGGUUGUAAUAGGGUGGCUUUUGCCUCACCUUCAUUGCCUUGCAAUAACUAUUACAUAUUGCGACAAAUUAAGCAUCCAUGGUAAUACGUACAACAUAAUGCAACAAUCCUCUAGUGUUGCCAAAAAAAGGAGCAGGAUAUUGCAACGAUAUUCUCUAUAGUGCUCCUGGUUUUUCUCUUGAUUUAUCAUACUAUUUCUUAGGAUAUGAUUAAAGGGGCAUACUAGUUUAUAGAGGUAUUAACACAUUAGGUACCACAACUUGCACCUAAGUUGCAUUUUAGUCACAUAUAUUGCAAAGUGGACAUCGGUGGUACCACAAUUUGGAGGAACGCUCGCUUACGCGCGUGCGGAGCGUUGCACACUCACGGACACCCUUCACUCGCCCUACUGACCUCCACCGGUAGCAAGGUCAUCCUCGACACCGGAAAGGCGGCAAGCUGAGUGCCCUUCUCACAAAGGUGAGUCGUGAGCACUAAGCAGCACACAUUCUCUUCCUAAUUUUUUUGUAUCUUGCUUGAUGUGAUUGUAUGUAUUUAUGUGUGCUAUUAAUAAAAAGGAGAUUCCAUAUAAAAUUAUGUGUUAAACAGAGAAAUUGAGCAAAGUUGCAUACUAGCUAUUUUGGAGCACUCCCAGUCUCCAUUUAAACGGCUCUUCAGCCACCAAUUGAGCAGCAUAACAUUGUAUCUCAGCCUAAUUUCUAGCAAGAAUUCAUCAGCAGAUCAACAACACUACAUCAAGAUAUAUAACACAAGUUUCAACAUGAAAGCACACAAGUUUCAGCAGCCAUACUUGUAUAGAUUGUUCACACAAAAGACCAUAGGUUGACGGCAAAGUAAUGAAAAUAGUGACAACACUAAAAACCACAAGUUCAUAGCAACAGUGUGUACAUAGCAUCACUGUCAAAAUAGCAACAUCACUAAAAGAACAGCAAAUACUCUUCUCUUCUCUUCAUCACCAAACUGUUAGUGCUGGGCACUAGCUUUUGUUCUCAUUUUCCACAAUAGAUGACAGUAUGCAGGGGGUGCCUUGUUUGAACCUGUUUCACAUUAGAUUAAACUUUAGGAGAGAUACUACUCGUAGGUAACCAUAAAAAAAGUUCAGGGACUUAUAUUCAUGGCUUAAACAUUUGAAAAGCACCUUACCAAGAGAUUAAAAACUAUACAAAGAACCCCUGGUCAUCAUCUGAUUCUUCUUGUCUCAAAGGAGCAACAUGCCCAUCAUUUACGUAAGCCUCAUCAUCAUCUGUAUCAUCAUCAGAUACGAACUGGACAUCUUCAAACUCAACAGGUUUUAUAUUUUCUAUGACUGAAACAUCAACGCUGGAUCCUUCGUCAUCAUUUCUGCACCAACUAGUGAUCUCUUCGGGUACUAUAAUUUCUGGCACUGUAAUUUCUGCAUCGACGACAUCCAGUACGUCUGCCUCACCACCUUCAUCGGCUUCAACAGCUUCAUCAAGGCCUACACCAUUUAAAACAGAAGGAGCAAACAAAUUGCGUGGAUUCAGUUUAAUAACAGCUGCCCAAUCAGGGUUCUUCACAUCUCUCACAUAGAAAACCUGUUGAGCUUGGAGGCCUAGAAUGUAAGGGUCUCCCUGGAAUCGGUGUAGAGUAGUGUCAAGGUCAAUAAUUCCAUAUUUGUCCUUGUUAUACCCCUUACUCUCAGUUAUGUUGGCAGGAGGCACAUCAAACCAGUCACACUGGAAUAGAACAACCUCCUUAUCAGGAGGGAAGUCAAGAAAUAUGAUUUUCUUGAUCACCCCAUAAUAAUCAAUAUUGCAUGUGGUUGCAUCGCCCUUGACUAUGACGCCACUAUUUUGGGUACUCAAGUCCUCCUCGAUACAGGAAUUCCGAAAGAAAUAUCCAUUCAGAACUGUACGGUUGUAUACACGGGCUAGGUGAUCAGGUCCUUUAGCUAGCGCAUAAAUAAGAUUGCUGACCUUCCCAUCAUUGCGGAGUUCUGUGAUCUGUUUCAUGGAAUAGAAUAUGUGUGAGUGUAAUGUACAGUGUUGGUACGUUAUUACAAGGAACAUUAGUGAAAAUGCAAAAUAAACUUGCCCGUCUCUCAAACCAGCCAACAAAUUCUUCCUUGUGCUGCCUUUUAGGAUUAGGAGAAUUUUUACUUGUCAGCUCCUCAAGAUAUUCACUUCAAAGCGAACUGAUUGUUAGUUGAAUAGGAAAGUCUUAAUGCAUAUCCUGAUGUGAAAUAAAUACAUAAGUAUCCUUACUCAAUCCAUGGCGCGGUUUCCUCACAGUUUGUUAUUAUGAAAUGCCUCAUUUGAUUAAUCUCAGCCAAAGACAAUGAUUCACAAACAAAACCUUUCUUGGAGUAAUCAACUGUACUCAUGAUGCUAAUUCCUGUUGAUGGUUGAUCUAUACCUCUGUCUUCAUGACGUUCAGACUGACUUAGCUUGGUAGGCAUUCCAUCAACGAAUCGACUGCAAAAAGUCAUGCACUCUUCAAGUAUGUACCCCUCUGCAAUAGAACCUUCUGGUUGAGCCUUGUUACGCACAUAUCCUUUGAGCGUACGCAAAUACCGCUCCAUUGGAUACAUCCAUCUGUACAAGACAGGCCCUCCCAAUCGGGCCUCUUCAGCAAGAUGAAUUGGGAGAUGCAUCAUUAUAUCAAAGAAUGCUGGUGGAAAGAUCGUCUCGAGAUGACACAAAGUUUCUGGAAUUGUUUUGCUCAACCUCUCCAAAUCUUCAUCCCUUAACUCCUUGGAGCAUAAAUCAGAAAAGAAUUUACUCAGCUGAAGCAAUGGGUUAACAACAUUCUCGGGCAAAAGCUUGCGCAAUGCAAUAGGAAGAAGUUUCUGAAAUAUAACAUGAUAGUCAUGAGUUUUGAGUCCACUAAUCUUGCACUGAUCAAGGACUACACAUCACUUAAUGUGUGAUGCAUAGCCAUCUGGCAUCUUAAUGCUCUGAAAAAACUUGAGGAGCAUUAUCUUUUCUUCCUUUUUAAAGUAUAGCAACCUUUCUUUAUGUCGUACUUAUGCUUGCCGGGCUUUGGAUGCUGGUCCUUCCUAAUUUUCAGGUCCUCCAAAUCAAGACGAGCCUUCACACCAUCCUUUGAUUUCUUAGCCAUCUCAAGCAAAGUCCCCAGAAUGUUGUCACAAAUGUUCUUCUCGAUGUGCAUAACGUCCAAAUUGUGCCUAACAAGCAAGUGCUUCCAAUAUGGGAGCUGGAAAAAUACACUUUUCUUCCGCCAAUUAUGCCAGCUAUUAGUUUCCGGUCGCUUUCUCUUAUUUGACCGUCCAAAUGGUGCAUGCUGAAUGCUAUCAAGUUCCCGCACAACUUGUUCACCUGUAAGUGCCACAGGAGCUUCUCUAUUAUCUGUCUUGUUGUUGAACAAACACUUGUUUCGACGCCAUUUUUGGGUCCUGGGCAGAAAACGUCGGUGUCCCAUGUAGCAAUGCUUUCGACCAUACUUGAGCCAUAAAAAAUCUGUAUGUUUGUGGCAAUACGGGCAUGCUAGCUUGCCUUUUGUGCUCCAACCACUCAACAUUGCGUAAGCUGGGUAGUCACUGAUGGUCCACAGCAAGCAUGCAUACAUCUGGAAUUUUUUUUAGUUGCAGCAUCAUAUGUGUCAGCACCAUCCUCCCAUAGAACAUUCAGUUCAUCAAUCAAGGGCUGCAAGUACACAUGUAUGUUAUUUCCUACUGACUUUGGUCCUGGAAUAAUCAUUGACAUAAUCCAUUUUUGUUGUUUCAUACACAUCCAAGGUGGCAAGUUAUAUGGAAUAAGAAUGACAGGCCAUGUACUGUAUGAUAUACUCAUGAGCCCAAAGGGGUUGAAUCCAUCUGAAGCAAGGCCAAGCCGAACACUGCGAGCAUCUUUUGAGAAUUUUUUAUAAUAUUUCUUAUCAAAAUGCUUCCAGGCCUUCGAAUCUGCAGGAUGCCUCAUUACGCCAUCAUCCACCCGACCCUCCUUAUGCCAUUUCAUAUGUGAUGACAUAUAUUCUGUCAUGUACAACCUUUGCAGUCUUGGAAUGAGUGGGAAAUACCUUAGAACUUUCUGUGGCACUGGCUUCUUUGAUUUACGGCCUGAUGCAUUGUCUUCGUCACUGGUAGGAGUAGAUUUCCAUCGAGACGCAUGACAGACAGGACACUCUUCUGCAUCAGCAUGUUCAUUACGGAAUAGCACGCAAUCAUUAACGCACGCGUGUAUCUUCUUGUAGUCCAGCCCAAGAUCUCGGAUCACCUUCCUUACUUUUGUGAGAUUAGUAGGAAUGCAGUGACCCUUUGGCAGCACCUGUGUGAACAUCUGCAGAACUAAGUCACAUGCUCUAUUGGUCAUCCCAGACACACACUUGAUUUGGUAAAGCUUCACAAUGAAAGAUAGCUUCGUAAAAUCCUUGCAACCUGGGUACAACUCUUUUUUCGCCUCUUUCAAUAGUUCAAAGAAGAUCUUGGCUGUUGCAUUUGGCUCCUGGUUCCUUUCAUCACCACUGGAAGCAUCCACAUGAAUGUCUCCCGCACCUUCACCAAUGUCUGCAUUGCUUUCCAUGUUUGCGCCCCUUAUGAGAGUAUUGAGCAUGUCACAUACCCCAGCACCGUCAUCUACAGCGUCUUCAUUAUCAGAAUCUUCAGACAUGCUUCCCUCAUCGGAUUGUUCACCAUGGUAUAUCCAUUGAGUGUAGGUUGGAUCCAUCCCAUUGAAUAGCAAGUCAGUAUGAACUUCCUUUUUCGUUUUCGGAACAUUAUUGAGACAUCUCCUACAUGGGCAUGGGACUGUUGAGUCUAGGUGAGCACCAUCGAAGGCAAAAUUCAAGAAAUCCUUCAUGCCAGUUUGCCACUCAACAGAAUUUCUUUCCCUGUCCAUCCAGCUCUUAUCUCGUGUCAUUUUUGCCUUAUCUCCGUAAAGCCAGUCCUGUUAAAAAAACAUAACAACUGUUUUAGUAGCUGCAUUACAGUCAAUAGCAUCACUAGCUGCAUUACAAGACAAGACAACAGGGAUACAUACAUACCAGUAUUACUGUCAGAUGGUAAAGCAAAAUUUGGUUGAUGGAACAAGAAAUAGUUUUGCUGUAUGUUAAUGCGGUCCACGUGAAUGUUUUGCUGAUGUUUGACACAGAAAUUGUUGAUGUUUUGCUGUAACAGAAUGAAUGUGAGUGUACAGAUAAAUACUAGUUCUUUUGCUGCACAUGAAUCGGUGUGGAUCUACAGAAAAUACUUGAAUGAACGAGGAUGUACAGGAAGUCUUUCUUGUCAUUUCAGUGACAUGGAUAGCACAAGGAUUUUGCUUCUUGUACAUCCACAUUCAUUCUCCACUGAUUCAGAGUAUUGGUAUACUGAAAUUCAUGUGCUGAUAUUUUUUCUAUAUACUUGUACACCCACUGAUGCCAAGUAUGUACUGGUGAUAUUCAGAGAUAACUGAAAUUCAUGAGAUAACAUUCAGACAGCUAGAAUUCAGUGACAUGUUGUGCAUAUACUGGUGAAUAACAUCUUCACUCUUGAUAAAUUCUAAGUUGACUAAACCAACCAACUAACCUCUUAUGCAUUACUACCCUGUCUAAUUCUAGCUAGUAUACAAAAAUUCAGAAAGAUACAGAGUCACGGCUGACCAGGGGAGAGCUGCUGCAGGUCGUUGCACUGAAGCAGACGGGAGACCCGGGCAAGUGAGCAGGAUGGCAGGUCCAUUGGCGCCGGAGUUGAGGUGUCGGGCGGUCCAGCCACACGCCCACGGGCAGGAUCGACCAGCCAAGAUCCAGGGAGGAUUAGGCCGACGGGAGGAAGGCGCCGAGCGGCGGGUGGCGGAGCAAGGUUAGAGGGAGAGAGGAGCCGCAGGGAGGCGCCGGCGUGGGCUGCUUCGUCGCACCGCCAUGAUGUGGCUGCUGGAUGCGGCCAGCGCUCGGGUCGUGCGGCGGCGGAACAAGGAAAGAGGAAAAGGGGCACCAGAUGGGAAAUAAGGAGCGAAGGAAACAGAAAAAAUGAUCAAAGGAAAGGGGGAGAGAUCUCGCGCGGCGCAACCCACCAGACGCGCGUCUGAUCCAUCGCGCGAGCUCUACGCGCUCCACCAGGCAGGGGCACAGGGCGUCUGAUCCAUCGCAUGGACACGAACGCUCCACAACAUACUGUAUAUUAGAAGUUAAGUCCCACUAUAUAACACAAGUACUUAGAUAGCACAGCUGACAGAGCAUCCCGCUGCAGCACUUGGGGACCCAUUUUCCAAUCCCCUUUCUUGCAUUUUCUUUUUCUUUUUCGCGGCAGAUUUAAAAGAUUUUUAUAAUAUACAUAUCUUUCAAACCGCGACUUCAAAUCGUACAUGUCAUAUAUGAAAAUCCCUCAGAAAAAUGUGUACAUUUCAAAUAUUUUAUUUUCUUGCAUGUUAAAUCAUUUCCAAAAUAUGUUUAGCAUGCAACUUUAUUCAAUAUCAAGUGACUUAAUGUUGAUUUUCAUAUUGUUUGUGAUAACGGCAACUAGGUAGAUAUUUCUGUUAUCUAAUGGAUUAGAAACACCUUGAGUACACUUUAAAAAUUAUGCCAUUUUUUUUUGUGUAACACCACUUAUCAUGUUGUUUGUCAUGUGACACCGUGAAAGAUUUUAAGAGAUUUGUUGAUGUCGUCGGUGUGUGCACGGGGGAUGAUUCUUUUUCUUAUCCCGUUGCAACACACAACUGGUAAAUACUUUUUCCCAAUUUAUUUUUUGUUGUAAACAUUUCCUCCAAAAAGAAUGACUUUUUCACCCCCUUUCUUUUUCUGUUUGAAAGAAGAUAGUAAUUCUAUUCAAGUACACCCCGGGGUCCUGGCACCAGCCAAUUUCCCUUAACCGUUCAUGUGUCCCGGAGAGUCACCUGGCUGUUCAAUUCCUCCCAUCGACGCCUCCCCGCCGCUAUCGAGGCUCAGGGGAACUCGUCUCCCACGAAUCCGGGGGCGGCUCCGUCGAAAGCUUCCAAGACCGUGUGAUCCAUUUCCGAGCUCUCCGUCCAUCCACCCCCGGCCCCUCCUCCCAAGCCCCCCCUCUCCCCUCCCUCCCCACCGCCAUCGCUGGCGCCUGCCUUCGGGCAUCGCCCAGACAACGCUGGCGGCGGCGACCCCUAGACAUUCCCCUCUCGGUGGUGUUCCGACGCGGUCCUAACACAAUAAAACUCAAAGCUAAAUUGGUUUGGUUGUUUGAUUUACAUAGUUGAAUCUCUAUGAUUAUCAUUUGAACAAAAGCGACAUAAUUAUGUUCGACCUACUCUGGCUUGGACGAACCCUCCACGGAUUGUCCGAUAAGAUGAACGAUGCUGAGAUCACCCCAUCUCAAGAUCGGAAUUUUAGACCGAGACCGACGUAGAUCGACUGUCUCAUCAACCCAUCCCAUCAGUACUUACGUUUCGAGACAAGAGUAUAACCUAAUAGUUUAAAGUGAGGAUCGCAUGAGGUUUCCGCGACCUGUAGUUCUAAACUAGCCAUUUUUUUGCUACUUUGACCAACUGACCAAGGCACAAAUUUUUGACAUAUCCCAACCUAAGUGCAGAUCCAAGAUGAAACAACACAUUCCUAAGACGAUAAAUCUCAAUAUUAAAUGAGGUUUCAGUGGUCUCCGUCGGGCACUAAGUGAUUCUUUUUUUGCACAUUUUAUAGGUGUUUGGUACUCGUUGAGGUUGUGUGUCCAUGCUCGGUAUUCGUGUAUCUUGUCUUGGAUAUAUGCAGCGUCCGUUUGUAUCGGUUGCUUCGAUGUAUGUGAUGGUUGUUUUACAAUAUAAAUGGAGAAACUCUUUUUAAUAGAUAUUUGGUCUUACAUGAGUCACAUUGCAUUUUUUUUCCUAUAGAUUCAGAGUAGUAUUUUCAUGAACCUAUCACUGAUACUUUGCCUUUCAUGUUCAUUCACAUAUGUCUGGUUUACCCACACAAGGGCACAAUGAUGAAUUUUACGGAGGAUGCUCCUGGUACACAACAUCCUUACUUCAUAAUCACCUAUCUGAAUGGUGCAGAACGUCAAUGCUUUGUUAAUGCUAAGUCCCAUGAUUGUUUUUGUGUGCAGUAAAGAAAGGCUUUGUUCUCUUAACAAGGAUGGAAAGUAUAACGGCAUACAAAAACCAACGUGGACAACCCAAAUCUGGUAAAUUAUUUAGCAUUUCCUAUAAUGCAUAAAAUCUUGGUGUGGGUUAAAUAGCUAAACCUUCAAGACUACUAAAUCUUUUACAGCAACUCCAGAACAAUCUGACAUUCCAGUGUCUGCUAAUGACUUGUGUUCCCUUGCUGAAUGGCCAUCCCAUGCUCGCCGCAACCGUGCGCGACUACAGGAUGGUACUUGCUUUCGUUUACAUUUGUGUCAUCAUUUCUUACAAUCUAAUGCUGAGUAAUACAAUUUUUCUUGUAUGAUUUGGGCUGUAGAAGCUGGUGGACAGAAGAAGAAAGGGCGAGGUGUUCUAAAAGGUUUUAAAGCAUCUAAGAAGCGUUUUGCCAAUGGAUCUGCAAAGCUAAAUAUUACAUUCUCUGAAAAAUUGGGUGGUACAGUAGGAAUGAACUAUCGUUCGUUCAAGGAUGACGUGGUAGUCAUAAUGAAAAGAAAGUUACCACUCAUUGGAGUGAGGACGUGGUCGGACAUUCACCCUACCAUUCAUCGACUCAUUGUUGCAGAUAUAAUAGUGCGUACAACAUUUUUCACAUGUGUUAUCUUAUUUUACCAUCGAUAAUGCACUGCUUAUGUAUAUUUAUUUGCUGUAUGCUUUACAGGACAGAUGGGACCUGGAAGAUACACCAGAAACAGAAGAAAAAGUUCUCAAAAUUGCGAAAGAGAGAUAUAGAGGCUGGCGAUCAACUCUAAGCUCCACUUACAAGGCAUACAAAACAGAUGCAGCUAGAUUGGCUAAUCUGCCUGAAGAUUUACAACCAGAAGAGUGGGAAUGGAUGAUUGAGUACUUUGGCACUGAUUCAAAAUUUCAGGUUAUCUCUAAGAUCACGGUUUGUCUAUUAUGUGUUAAGGUGAAAUGGCUAGUCUCAUUGGUUAUAUCCGGUUUCAAUGAAUUGAUAGGAACGCAGCCAAAAGAACGCUGAUAACCGUAAGAAACAGAAGACAAAACAUAUAAUCGGAUCAAAAUCUUACUCGGAAGUUAGUUUUGAGAAGGUACGAGUCCAAUUAAAUAUGUAUGCCUUGCUGCUAAAUAUGGUGUCAUGUUUCAAGCAUCUCAUUGUUAUAUUACUUGCAGAGAAACUUAGAAACUGGAGAAGAGCCAGAUUGUAUUGCUCUAUGGUAACUCACCCACACAAACAAUGGAACAUGGUCUAACACAGAUUCCCAGAAAGUUUACGUGAGUACACUGACUUUUGGUUAUUCUAUAGUUAGUUAAUGAUGUGCAUUCGGCAUGUUUCAUCAUCAGAUGCGAUUAUUCAUGCGUUGGACCGUGUUAUUCUUGUUUCAUCUUUUAUAGUGUCAAUAUUGAUGCUGCACCUAUAAUUGUUCCUAUCAUUUUUAGGACCAAGCACUUGAAGAGGUUAAAAACAAAGAAGCUGAAAAUGAAGGUCCACUUUCAAGUGAGCAGAAAAACAAUGUUUUCCAGACCGCUUACAAAGACACUCUGGAAUGCAAGUCAUCGCAGCCUCGUGGGUACGGAUACAUGGCCAAAACUUCAACUGGUUCUGAAAAGUUCCGUAUCCAGAUUGAAGAGCAAGCUCGUGCUACAACAGCCACCCAGGAGCGAAACUCUCAGCUCAGCCAGCAGGUCAAUGACUUAGAAGAUCAACUACAAGCUGAACGUGCUAACACACAAGAGAGGAUUAACUUGGAGCGUGCUGAGAGAGAACAACUUGAGGAGAGGUUAAAAGAAGAGCGUGCUGAAAGGGAAAGAUUGUUGCAAGAGGAGUGAACAUCAAGACUGGAAUUUGAAAAAAACAUGAUGGCAAAGUUUGUAGAAUUGAGAAAACAGAUGGAAACCCAACAGGUGAUGGUGAUUACAGUCAUAUGCUUCUGACCUUGUAAGAUUUAUGUUGCUUACUUGCAUUGCUAAAAGUGGACUUCUAUUUACAGGUUCCUACGAAGAGGGUUGACAAAGAAAAUAGUAAUCCAAACUUGCAAAAUAUUCUUUCACAGACAUCUAGUUCUAAUAAGACUCCAGGUUCAAGGCCGACUGCUAUUUCUUCAAAUGCGCUCAUACAAGCUGCAGCAAGGCAAUCUAGAAUGUAUAAAGCAAUGGUAGGUCACAACCUUGCUUUCUCUUCAUGUUCACCUGCAUUUUAUACGUCAUUGGUCUUCAUAAUUAGCUAGCUGCUUCUUCUCUUUUACCAUGUGUUGUUGCUGCAUCGAGUCACAACUUAAACAAAAUACAAAUAUGUGCUAGCUAGGGACAUGAACUUAACUGAAACUAUACAUCUAGUCAUAACUUAAAUCAAUAGCAGGAGCUUUUAGUAGAUGUAUGAUCGGAUGAUGGUACCAUUCUGUAUGCACGAGCAGGAUGUCAUGAUCAUGCGCGUGAUGCCUUCGCUGAUGAGUCCACUGCAAUGUCCCAUGUAGUAUCUCUUCCUGUUGAUAUAGGGGUCGUGAGGGUCGUUUUUUAAAUGGACUCGCAACUCCUGAUGGAAGCACUUAAUAUCAAUAAGGUGGACUCGUCGGCCUAUGCUGCUGUUAUUGAGGAUACCAAGUACCCGCUCAUAUUAUGGUUUUCUUAUUAUGAAGGUUUUCUUAUUAUGAAAUAAAUGUAUGUCGUCGCUCGGCAAACUUUGUUGCUCAUGAGCUUGCUAGUCUUGAUAGGAUGUUAGAACCUAACUGGAAUGGGGGGCCGAUGUACUAGCCCUUGUGGCUGCUCUGUGUUUUGGGUGAUUCAGCCCAACACCAUUAAGUUAAAAGCAAUGUUUUUUCUCAAAAAAAAACCUUUUAGUAGAUGUACUUUAGGUUAUGCCUUAGCCAUUCACACUUGUAUAGUUGUUCUGAUGCCUUAGUUACAUGCUUGCUGACACAGUAUUAGCUAGUUAGUCUGGCAAUAGUUUUUAACAAUGGAGCUCGCAUAAUUGUAUGGCGUAUGUUAUGUUUGACUCAUUAACUAGAACUUUUUUUAUUUCUUGAUUGCAGGAUCCAAAGAACUAGCUGGACUGGACUCUAGAUCACGGGCAGUUUAGUCUUCGAAGUUAAUUAGGAUGGCUAAAUUACAUUUGAGUUUUAUUUGAUGGAUAUUUUCUAUCAGAAGUUUGAAUUGUAUGAAUCUACAUAUUAUACGUAUGGUUUUGAAUAUUGUAAUUAAAACCCUGUAAUUUUUUUUUACGAUUGCAAUAGACUAUUACCACAACCCAUUUUUGGUUGCCACAUGCUAGCACCACUAAAAAUAUAGUGUUCACCAUAUCUCAGUUGCUACGCCUAUCUGUUUUGUUGCACUAGAAUGUUGCAACGGAGCACUUUAUAUUGUUGUAAUAGCUUCGCGCCACAAAAAAUUUCAUGAUGCGAUAACAGUUUAGCGCCACCAAAGUAAGUUUGUUGAAAUAGAGUAUCGCCACGGAAAGUUUAAAUUGUCGCAAUAAUUUCUCGCUACAAAGAUGUUACUUGUUGUGAUACCUAUUUGUCACCAUCAAAAGAAGUACGUUGCAAUUUCCUGUUACGACGAUUGGAAUAUUUGUUGCCAUAAGUUAAUGCCACAAGCGCAGUGGGUCGUGGCAACAUGCCUAAUGCCACGAAAACAAGAAUUGUUGCCAUAGUUUAUUGCCACAAGUAUAUUGGAUCGUGGCAACAUGCCUGAUGCCACGAAAAUAAGGAUUGUUGACAUAGUUUGUUGCCACAAUUGAUUAUUGCCACGAAAGAGUAAUGCGCCACGAAAUGGCCGUCGUUGGCAUAGGUUGUUGCCACAAAUGUCUAUCGCCACGACAUAUCAGUCUCCACAAUUCGGUACAUGUUGCAUUAAAGCUAUCUCCACAAAGCAAAUUGUGGCAAUAGGUGAGUGUUGCCACGCGAAAACAUGUGGCAAGUUCCCGCAUGGAUGUUGCAAUAGCACACUUUAUUGCCACAAUUGCUUUUUCGUGGUAAUAACCUAUUACCAUGUGUCCAGUUGCAACGGCUGCCAACGAAUGUCGUUUUGUGGCAAUAGGUACUUAUGGCCACGAAACAGCAUGUAUUGCAACAAAUUUUUUUGUUGCAAUAGACCCGCAUCCUUGUAGUGAACACACGACUAUGAUAUGUCGUGAUAAAUACUGGACCAACAUAUCUACCUCGUGUUAGUGAUAUUAUGCUAUAGUUGCAAGAUGUCUCUUUAUUAGCAUUAGUAUCUGAAAGCACCGGAUAAAUUCAUCUCUAGGCAAGAAGUUAAUUUUUCUGAACUUGAAUUGUUUAUAACUGAGUUUAUAAUUAUAUUAAUCUAUUGGAGCCGCAAGUCGUUUCGAGCUUAUAUUCCUUUUCCGAGCAAAAAUUUGUUUCAUAAAUCAUUGAUAAUGUUUCUGCAUUAUAAUAGUAGGAUUCAAUGUUUGAACAAUUAACCACUCAAGAAAAUCAAUCAAAAGGAUGCAAACAGUACAAGCUAUCUAUCAAAUAUUUGAAAAAGAGAAUAAGAAUCCCAACUGUUCGUAGUAUUCACUUUUAAUGAGUAGCAUGAAAGAUGGUGAUAGCAUUGAUCAUCUUUGGUUGGUAUUCUUUGAGUAUUUGGAUGCAACUGAGAGUGUAACCUUUGGCAAUAUUUAAGUUGUUACCUAUUUAUUAUUUAAAGUUCAGUUUCAGUGACAUUUAGGGCAUGUUUAUUUUUAUAUAAGAAAACUAGCAUAUAAUUAGUUCAAGAUCAUGGGAGAAAUGUACAGUGUAAAAUGAUAUUUUUGAAUAUUUGAAUGCAACUAAGAGUGUAACCUUUGGCGACAUCUAAGGUGAAGCAAGCUUCCUUUGCAUAUUCACAUGAAAUAUAACAUGCAUUUGGUCGAUUAACCAUCUCUUGCUACAAAAAAUUACUUCAAGAUGUUGCACAAACACUCUCACGGUACAGACGAAACAUUGACUACUAUAUUUUUCUUCCCCAAGACAAAUAUAAGCUAUAAAUGAUUGUAACUUGUUCGACCUGUAAUGUGUCCUAUCUUUGCAGCAAUGUGUACUUCCUACUUCGUGAAAUAUAUCAAUUAUUUGAUGAAUAAAUCUAUAUAUGUUUCCAAAUAUGCCUUUAUGCAUUGCUUGACUUAUUAGAAUCCUCAAAUUGCACAACAACACUCUUUGUCUUAAGUCCAAUUUAGACACAAAAAGUUAGCAACUUCCGUAUCGACGUGUCAACGGGGCGUGGCGUGCCGCCGCGCGGGUAUGGCUAGUAACGAAACUAAAGUGGACCAGAUGUUAGACAGCUCACUCGCGAGUAUCAGGGUGGUUGUCUUUAAUUGAAGCUUUUGAUUAUUUUUAAGGUGGACCCUAAGCUUAGCAGGAUGCGUUAUCCACGACUCAUGAUGCUACUUAUGAUACUGUUGUCAUCGAUCCUUGAUUUUCUUUAGUUUCCCGUCUCAACUUGUCGGUAGGAACGUUGCCAUCACUGGGUACUAUGGCGGCUUCGUAAAUCUCAAGAUGAUAUGCCGCUUCAGUCUCUUGAAGGUGCUCAUAGGGGUAGGGUGUGCGUUCAUAAGGAUGAGUGUAUGCGCAUAUGUAUGAGCGCUUGCGUCUGUACUAUGUUCAAAAAUCGGGUUGAAUCCUUUCAACCUACGUUAUUCUUCAUCGACGGUGGUUGAUGUUUUGGUGCGCUGGUCCUAUGGGGCCUUAGUACGAUGACUUCCCGAUUGUUACUACAACAAGUUGUGCCCGACUCUUACGAUGGAGGGGCGAUGACGGCGGCGCGCCUUUGGCUCGCUUCAGUGCUUGUAGUCGUCGCUAGGUGGUCUACGAAUCUGGAUGUAAUUUUUAUUUCUGGUAUUCGUUGUACUACCAUGAUUGAACAUGAAUAGAUUGGAAGUUUUUCCAAAAAAAAACUGAUAGGGACUUUUUAUUAGGGAAAAGUUCAACGGAAAAACAAAUUUGACUCUCAACCUCGCAGCAAUGACCAUUGCCUUUCGAUCUCUACAAAUCGCUCUAGGUUUUUUUUUGGAAUCAACGCCUCAAUUAUUUAACCAAAAGAGUUCAGGAUCUCCGCCGAUACAACGCUAAGAAUAAAGUCUGGAGGUACAUGAAACCACACUUUGCAAAGUUCAUGACUCACACCCUCUUUGGCUAACAAAUGUGCAGCAACAUUUGCUGUUCUCCGCACCCAUUUUACCUUAGUCUCCUGAUGACUUUGCAACAAUGUCUUCACUUCCUCAAUGACAGGUCCCAAAUUCAACAAGUUCUUCCCUGGGUCAUUCAACAUCUACGCGGCCUCCUUAUUGUCUGUCUCAAUUACUAGUGUUGUACUCCAGCCUAUAAGGUAUUGUGUUUUUGAUGCCUCCUGAGUUUAAGCUAUUUUAUUGAUGUUUGAAAUGCAUUUUGGGUUUGUAUGAUUGGGGGAUGAAUAUUAUAUUUCCAUUUGUUACGGCUAAGUCUUCCGCUUCCGUUGUGCAUAUGUCCAUUUAAGCUACACUGUCACAUAUUCUAAGCCUCCAUGGAUGCUAGUUUAAUUAUAAUUUGUUAUCUCUGUUGUUUUUAGGCGAUGCCGGACCAACACCUAUGUUGAUAAGUAGUAUUUGGCUACAACGCGGAGAUUGAUUUUUAGGUGAUGCCGGUGGACUACUUUGAAGUGGUUGUGCCAUAGUCCUAUCCAAUCACAACACAGACACAUGUCUUGAUCUCAGUUAUGCUCAUUGACUUCAUCUGCUUUUGGUUUAAUAUACUACUCACGGUUAUCUCAUCUUUCUAGGUUUGUGCCAGUUAUAAGUUCUAAAUAGAAGUUUUCGGACCAAGAAAAUAAACAUUCUAUCAAUGUCGUAAACUUGUGCAGUCUGUGCCUUCAAACAAAGGGUAUGCAUCACGACCAGCAAGCAAUUUCCGACUUUACAAAGAAAAUCAAUGAGAGAAAGGGCUGAAUUUGAAUUCAACCCACACCUAGCUAGAGGAAUAAAAAACAGAGAAAUCAUACUGUGAAGAGUAGAUAAAUUAUACGGAGCCAUGAUUGGAGCCUGUUAGCACUAUCACAACUGACCCUUUUAUUAUGGAGUUGUGUUUCUUAUAUGGAUUUGAAUUUGCAUGUAAAUCUAUAUUCUCUCUUUGUUGAAAACCAUUCAAACCUUUAUGCACCUUGUAAUAUCUGAUUUCAAACUUAACUGUGCGGGCAAGAGGGGCAAGGCCAAAACAUGAGUAUACGGGGAUGCAAAAUGCCAAAAAUUAUCUCAUCUAAGCCUUCCACCGAAAAAAAUAUCACCGUGUGGUCCAAGACAGGGGGGGGGGGGCACCGCCCCCUGAGUUGUACAUAGCUCCGCCACUAGAACAUAUGUACCACAAGGCCACGUAUGAGUACAACCCGUUGGGCGCGAUGUGGGCCACUGGCAACCUCUUUUGGGGUCACUCCGUCUCGACCCCACCACCCCCUUCAAUGCGAGUGGUUGUUUUUCAGGCUCCACCACAAUUCUCCCUGGUGGCAUCCCAACCUUGUUGUACACCGGCAUCGACACUCACAAGGUGCAGAUGCAGAACUUUGCCAUGUUCCCCAAGAACCAUGUCGACCCGUUCCUACGCGAAUGGGUGAAGCCUGCCGACAACAUCGUCGUCCCGAACUCAGCUGACGUCCCUGGCUACACCUUUUGCGACCCUUGCACCUCGUGGAUAGGCAGCGACGGCUUGUGGUGUGUCACCGUUGCGGCCAAGGUCAGUGGCCCCAUGGUCAAUGCCUCCACGCUCGUCUGCCGGAGCAAGGACUUCCGGCGCGGGGAGAUGAUGCCUCACCAUUGUAUGAGUCGCGUGUCGCCGUCAUGGUCGAGUGCCCGACCUGUUCCCUGUGGCGGGGCCUGGCAUGGGCGAGGGGCGGCUCGACUACGCCUCUAUGUACCACAAGGGCAUGUACCACUUGUUCUACCAGUACAACCUGUUGGGCGCAACGUUGCAGCAAGCUUUGGUACACAGGAUAACCUGCAUAGACACAAAGAAAAACCAUGUGGGCGCCUGCAUCAUAGGCUAUAAGAGAACAAUAUGACGCGCCAUGUCCAAGCCCAAAACAUUGUGGUGUCAUAUUUAUAUUUUCAAUCUAAUAAAGGGUAAAAUCAGAAAACCGAGGUCAAUUUUUUAUGCAGACUCUUGGCUCCGAAACUCCAGUGAUUUCUUAAUUUUUUGAAACAAUUACAAGGUGCCUCUAUAAGUUUCAAAAUGACCCUUGCAUGCGUAUGUUAGAACACAGUAUUGCUCAGUACAAUUUCGUACAACACAAUUUCAAGCAGGGCUGCACAAAAAAGACGAAUUGGUGGUCUAGAAUUGCAAACAACAGCAAGUCUAUUUGGUAUCAUACAUUAAUUCUUUUACUGAAAUACCGUGGGGGCUUCCCCCACUGUCCCGGUAAUUCUUUUACUGAAAUCAGACAUUCACCUAAUUGUGAAAAAUCAGACAUAACACUCCCUUGCAGGCUAGCACCAUAAUUUUACUGUAAUUGGGGUGGGGGGUCUUGUAAUUUUAGUUACACUUGCGCAGGGUGUAGAACAUUAUGAUUUUUUUAUCUGCAUAAAAAACAUUCACGUAAUGGUGAAAAUAUUUGGUGUUUCGAGAGAAAUGCUGAACUUCUGAAGAAAAGGAACAAUAUUAAUAAUUUUUAGAAGAUGUUCGAUCGCUCAAGAAAUAUAUUUUUGUAAAUAAAAUGUCAGGGCAGCAGGGGUAAGCAGAUUAGGGUGCUGCAUAAAGCUUUCACAAAAAUCUUGGUAGCCCACCAUCCACCCUUGGCCUUCAUCAUGAAGCUUCCAGGAGAAAGAAGAAACCAAGUAAAUACUAAAUGGAUUUCAUCAGGGGCAGAUAUUGUGAAGAUCAAUGCUGACGCUGGGAUUAACUUUCCUCUAUAAAUUCCUUUGAAAUUCCUUUAAACCAAACCGUCGUCUCUAAGUUCUGAUGACAAGCACUAGUAUAUAUGACCAUGUAUGUAACACUAUACACCAUCUUUUCUUAUAUGACCACAAAAUGAAGUAGUAUAUCUUUCUCUCAUCUAUGAUAUGAUCCUAUCAUUAUCUCCCCUCAGUCGUCAUCAGCCAUCAUCAUCCUACAGUAACACAAAAUAAGUCCAGUGUCCUCCUAUGCAUGGGCAUCACCGCUGAGCCGAGUUGGCGGGGUGCUAAGGCCUAUCGUCGAGGCUAUCGUUGCCACGGCAGCGAUCCCCGGCAUCGACGCCGACCUUACGACGCCGCGGCCAUGGCUGCUCGGUGGCGGUGACGACGGUGCGGAGGCUGAGGCCGAGCCCUGUCGCUGGAGCAGAGCGUGCUGGGAGCUGCCGCCGGUGGUCCAGUUGCUGCCGCCGGUCGGAAGCUGGUGGCUCGGCAUGCCUGGUGUAGGAAUGCCACCGCCGCCCCGCAUUGGCCGUAGCUCGAUCUUCAGGUAUGGCGGCAACCUGGGUGUCGUGGCAUCAUCGGAAUGGCCAUGGCCGUCGUCGUCUUCGUCCUCGUAGUCGAGGGAGCACACGGUGCUGGUCUCCGUACGAAUGGUGGAAUCGUCGCCGCGUCGCUUCUUCCUCUUCUUCCUUGUGUCCUUGCCCCACCCGUGCAUGGUUUCUCUGAUCCUGUUGGGGAUCAGGGCAGCCUUGUACUUUGAUCCCAUCUGUUGUCGUACCAGCAACAGUGUAUUAGCCGUAUUUUUUGCCGAGAAACAGCAAAUGGGAACGUGGAACAUAUGCAUCCCCAAAUGCAUAAUUAAUCGGAUCUUGAUGAUUCAUUCAACUAGUUUAAAAUGUUCUUGUGGCGUGGCAUGUGAAUAAAUUGUUACCUGCGUGACAAGCGCAUAAACAGGCAACGUACUGUAACUGCAGAGAAACUGUCCGGCAAACCUGAAAUUAUAGAUUGUGGCUUAUCAUAAUGACGAACACGAGAAAAUUAAUGGGAGAAAGAGAAACUAAGUAGGAGUAGCUUCUACAAACUGCUUACCCCAAUACAAGGCGGCAGUAAACCAGGAGGUGGUUUUUUAUGAAGCAUGACUCAUAACCAAAUUGCCACUGCAGCACAAGGAUACAGCUAUGUUAACUCCGCAUGCCACUUCUAACUGAAUUUCCCAUAAAUAUGGUUAACAGUAGGCAAGUAAGAAGUGGUACCCAGAACCAGAAGAAGGAGGCCAGCUCGAAUGCAUUCUGCAGAAAUUUUUAAACCACGGCAUGCAUAAGUUUAAGUUUGUGCUUAAUUUUAACUAGUGUAGUGUCAAAAACGCUCUUAUAUUGUGGGACAGAGGGAGAAUCAUUUGAGCAGCACAUUAACAAGCAUUGCAGGUAAUAAUUACCUGGAAGAGAACAAAAUGAAUCAACCACAGGAGAAAUUUUGGUUUCUUGAACCAAAAGAGAUCAUCGCGUGGCUUUAUCCUUGGCCCAAAUGCGGUCAGCUUUGCACCCUCUGAUGUUAAAAUCGCUAUUAUAUGCUGCAGUUUCGCACCGACUAGAAGAACAAGCUAUGGAGCAUUUGAAUCCAGUUGAGACCAUCAAAAUUUGAGGGGGAACUACAUACAUUGCCGAAAAUAUACAAGAAGCAGGCUGUGACUGACUUACAGCAACAGGGAGGAUGGCUAUCCAAAAGUACAGGUUAGAUCCUGCAACAAAUUGCCGUAUCUGACAUUAGAUAAAAAACAAGGAAGCAGAAAUAUAUCAGCCGACAGAUGUAGGAAGAAAAGUACAUAGUUCAAAGUUUACCAUCAACAUUAAACAGCAUGAAAGCAACAACGAAGCCCCACAGUACUCCGCUGCAUCAAAGGAUCAAGUUAGCUGAUAAGAUUUCUCGGAUGAAAGAAUAAAAUAAAACAGAGCACAGCUAAUAAUCAUAAGGAGCCAAACAUGCAGACAAGCUGCUAACCUCACUCCAACAAUCUUCUCAAACUCCUCUUCCAUUGAACGUAUCAUGUAAGUGUGGAAGUCGUAUGUUGGUGCAAGAUUAUGAUUCUGAAAUUAUUAACAAGUCAAACACGAGCGUGUGACUAAUAAAUAUCAAGUUCAGUGUAACUUCAGUAUAUCUUUCUCAUAAGGUAUAAAUUUCAACAAAACAAAUCAACAGAGUAUCUGCCCGAUAGAUACAUCAUUUCUAUCCAAGAUGGCCCAGGAUAACUAUCUUACCAUUAUGAAACCCUUGCGAAGGAUAAGGUAGUCAGCUCGAACAACAGAUUGACCAAAUUGUGCAAGGAAGCAAAACUGUAUAAUGACACAACAAAAAUCUCAAGUGGUGGCUAUAACAGUAAAAUAACAGUAGCUCUAUACAUGAAAGGAGAAAUUUAUGCCUAAGAUGAGCAACAAGAACUAUUUUCCUCAACAUACCACCCACAUGACCGCAUUAUUUUGACUCCAAAAUCUGAAUGAAGAGGAUUUGGUAAGUGCUGGUGGUUGCCUUCUAGUUGCUGAUGCAUACGCAAUCUCUGUUGCAGGCAAAUUAGAAGAGGAACCGUCAGAUGGAGGUUAACGUCAACAUGGCUAAGAUACAGUGGCACCAAUAACACCAGGAUAUUGUUUGCUACAGUUACAGAAGUAAAAAAACGGUGUGUUUGAUGCAUCAGAAGAUUUUUCCUGCCUAGGUUUUCAAAUCAUUUGUUUAGGAAAAGAAAACAAAUAUGAUCACAAAAUUAUAUUUAGAGGAAAUUAACAUGGUUGCAAAACUCAGACAAGAGGAACUGCUAAAGCAAGCAUAAAAGACGUGCUUAAAAUCUUCCUAACCAAACCAUGUAACACAUAUCAUCUCAGGAUCUGCUAUUUCGAUGGGACCAUAUAAGAAACUUAUACUGAUUUCAUCGUCCUCAAUUGCUUCUGUUAAGUCGUGCAUUCUGAAUUGCUUCUGUUUAAGUUAUGCAUUCUAAAUUUGAGAAGCUCGCAGAUCUUCUUUGCAUCAUGAAUUCAGAUGUGUUUCGACAUUGUAUCAUGUCCUUUCUUCUGAAAGAUGAAGGGGGUAAAGAUAAGUACACUUACGGGAAAAAGAUUCGUGGUUAUCUCUAAAUGCUUCAUCUUCCCAUUUUCUCCAUGUAUGGACCUGCCAACAUCCAAAAGAAUAGGCAUCAAACCCACAUUCAUGCCCAUCUUGUAAAUAUAACAAACCAAGGUGAAAACGCUUAAUCCACAUGAUAAUGGGGCAAAACCUUGAGUAUAGCUAGCAGCAUCGUCAAGCAACUAUAGGUAACAUGGGUUACCGCCAUGACAAAAAUGAAGCGGUGGAGCUGCUCGAGACCCUCAUGCGAAACGAACGACUCGAAGCCCUGCAACCGAAACGAGCUUCCCUCAAUCACCGAAAGGAUUCCCAGACAAGUCUAGCCAUUCCAAGGAAGCUUUCUUUGCAGACGCACCUCGUGGCAGCUCUCCACCUGAUGGGACUGCGCCUUGAGGUUCCUCCUGAGAGAACGGUGCAGGAUGGCAGCGAUUAUGUGGCUGCGCUUGCGAGAAGACAGGGCGUGCUCGGCGCUGAAUGUCUCCUCCACCUCCUCUUUGGUGCACGGGGAGAACCUGCUGUUGUAGUACUUGGAGUCGAUGCAGAUGCCGGAGAUCAUCCUUGACGUCGCCGCCAAAAGCAGGGAUAUGAAGCCGAGCAGCAUCAUUUCUGCAGCAAAAACAGAGCAGACCGUUAGCUAAACAUUUCAGAUCAUUCAAAGAAGAGAAAUGGGAACAGAGGAUCAAGAACGAAACAAGAGAUGGGCAGGUACCUUCUUUCAUCUUCUCCAUUGCCUUGUGGAGCGGGUUCCGGUGAGUCUUCUUCAGCCACUGAACAAGCACAAGAACGCCAUGAAUUAGUCCAUCCAGUGAUGGUGAGAAAACUUAAAAUCGAGCGAUUUAUGUUUUGGAAUUCAGUAUAGUAUACAGUGCUGGGAAUUCAGUGAUAAUGGAACAAAUAUAAAAUUUCUAUUCAAUCUCAGCAUCCAAGGUUGUACUAGAAAAGCUUAUGAACAGUGGAAUCAUGCAGAGGUCAACUUUCUGCUCGCUUAUGUUUGGAAUUCGGUGUGCACACGCACAGUACAGUACCAGGAAAAGUAAUACUCCUGAUAGGGAUUUCGUUCCCUUUUAUAGAAGAAAGUAGAGGACAAGACUCCGUAACAGAGGAAAAAAUGAGCCGUUUGAGCUGUUGUUAUUCAGAAAAGAAUACUUGAGACCAACUGUUGGGUGUUUGGUGAAAAAGGACAGGAAAAAAUUGCAGAGAGAGAGAGAGAGAGAGAGAGAGAGAGAGAGAGAGAGAGAGAGAGAGACUGACAUUGCUGAGGCGGUGGAUGGAGCGCUCGACGAUGAGCGAGGCGGCGACGAGGAGCGUGAGCACGGUGGCGACGGACCAGGUGGGCGUCAGCGCCAGCGACCGCAUCUCCCCCGUCCCGCCCGCCGCGCCGGAGCCCUCGCCGCCCCCGGCCAUCUUGCCCCCUCUUUAUUCCGCCCCUCACGAGAGCAACCAGAGCAGCAGCAGCACUCAAGGGAGACGAGCAGACGGGCGCAUUGCAGCGGCAGAAGAAUCAAGAAGGGAACUGGGGCUGAAGAGGCGCCCUUUCCGUUUGCCGGCCGGCGGCGGGCGAGACGGCUAGGUGGCGCACAGCGCCACCAUUGUACCGGGAACGGGGUAGGGAUCUCGAAGGCGGAGGAGGUGGAAGAGAACUGGGCUCUUUCUCCCGCGGAGGUGGAAUGGAUUUGGCCGGCUGUAUGUAGGCAGGCGGUGCGCCGACGGAGCUGGCGCCGCCGGGGGGGUUUGAGAAGAAGGCCAGACGCCGAGGCACGAUACGCAAUGCCCGGAGAAGAGCAGGGCAGGGAGGCCCUCCUGGAGUGGGUUUCCCUGGCGGGCGAGCUCGGCGAGGAGAUGACUGACGGCGGCGGUUUGAAUCGAACCAGCGGCGCCGGAUAGCUGACAGCAACGAGAUGCCGAAGAAGAAGAAGAAGAAGAAGAAGAGAUGGAUCAGUGGAAGAAGCUGGCGAGCAGCGCCAGGAGAUUGGAAGGGGGAUCUCAACUGUCACCUAGUGUGCUAAUCUUCUUCUCAUCUCAUCUGGCUUGUGGUGGGGUGGAAUGAAUCAUUAGCUGCUCAUUGGAGUUAAACUAAACAAAUGAGAUGAUGCGGGGGAGUGGGGCUGGCUUCCUUCCUCGCUGCUUCUGCCAGUACAGUGAGGGGGCUCUGGCUCUGACAGGGCUACGUAGACGCUGACGUGCUCCGGCUGACAGGUGGGGCCGGCAUAGCCACUGCCCCACGAGGUCAGCGUCGCUGCAUGUGCCGAUGGAUACAGCAUACGUGCGUCUCCGUUGCGGCGGUUGGAGGUUUAAUUAACGGACCUUUUUCUCCUCCACUUAUCAGACCAACUUCAGCUUUAUUUUGUCCGAAUUCUGUCUGUUUAGAUAGAGCAAUAGGGUCAUGUCCGGACCAUUUUCCGGAUGCGGUAGCUGUGUGCCCGGCCACAUUCCGGCCGCGUACAUUUUUCUUUGCAAGUACGUAUUUUUUUUUCAUCAUUGAUAUUUGGUACAUGAAAAUACAUCACCAAAUUUUGAUUCAAAAACAAGAAUCACAAGAAUACAUUUUAGAAGAUAUCCAACCUCCAUAACUGCUCCUGUAAGUUGGAUUGGUGUCUUCUCGAUGCAUUCAUUGUUGAUCUACAUACGCUCGAUCUUGCGUGCUUCUUUCUUCUUCGAGUGUAAAGAAGUAGACGUUGCUUCCUCGCAUCUUGUCUCAUGUUAGCAACAAGUGCACUAGUCUCAUCUCUAGCCUCUAUGCUAGCUAAAAGUGCACAGACAUCUACUAAAUUGCGCUCUAUCAAUAUAUCGAUGUACUCUUCUUUCCGAUACCAAAACUUGCAUCCAUUCUACACAAUAAAAUUUUAAGGUAGCACAAAUAGUCAAAUCUGAGAGCACAACCGGAGCUAAAGUAGCACAUACCCCAUCGGUUGAGUACUUGGUGAACACCCAUCCGGAAUGUUUCGGCGUUUUAGACACUUGGCGCAAGACCUCUUUGGGCAAUCGUCGCCCGUAAUGAGUGGCAACGGUGCGCCGACGAGCUUUUGGGCCAGCACCGAGCCGGCUGACCGCCAUUCAUGUAUCUGUCGGGAGACCGCCGACGGUGUAGAUCUGAGCGGCUAGAGGAGGAGUCAGUACCUGCAUGCGGCCUUGCAGCCUUGCCGAGGCCUUCCGGCCCGGUGCCCGGCCAGUCCAUGGCGCGAUGCAGCCUCCCACAGCCGGACGAGCUCAAGCCCGACCGGAUCCGCUCCAAAUCCGGCCGACGGGUGUGCAAAUCAGGUGGUCGUGGUUGGGUAGCUCGGGAGCUUCGAGGGAAAGAGCUAGGCGAGCGCGCGUCGAGCUGCACAGCUACAAAUGGCAGCGGCGACGGCGAGGGGCAAGAGUGGAGGGUGUUGAACAUACUAGUCCUUGUAUAUUGUGUAACUCGACCCACCUCCUAGUCCUUGUAUAGUUGAGGUUGAGGCCCACUUUGUACUCCAUAUAUACGUGCGCUUUGCACCGAUCAAUACAUCGUGUAGCAUUGCCAAACUCUCGUUUCCAACGGAGGGGAUGCGGCUGAAGGGGGAGGGGCGGAUAGAAAAAGGGAUCCAUGUGCCACCGACGGGCGGGCCAGGGGAGGACACGCGCACACGGCCCUUCCGUCCGCGCACUAUUCAUUUCACCUCAAAAGCGGUGUAAACUUAAGCUAAAAAUGGGUCAAAAACGGACAAAAAUUUAUUUACAUUCGCGCGCUAGGCCAUCUGAUAUGUCUGUUUUACCUCAAAACGGACGCACGGCACAGGAUGAAGUCGCGCGAGUUGGCCUCAGAGCGAGGACGAGGCUAUCAAUUCAAAGGCGUUGUGCUACCCCACCCCACCCCGCCGGCCUAGCAAGCGUAGGUGUGCACCUACGGGCGUGCUCCGGGAAUUUGGCCCGGAUUUAAAGAUGCGCUAGCUAAACAAACAUCGCCUCGCCUCAUCUGCGUGGGGCGCACGGUCAACUCCCUUCUCACGACGAUAAAAAAUAUAUUACUCAUGCCAGCGAACCGUCCAGAUUUGCCACGCCAAAACAUGUUUAAAAAAAGUUGCCAUGCUGCAGCGACUAAUUGCCGUGCGUCCGAUCAGGAUCCAACGUACAUGAGGGCAUCAGAUUUUUAACGCUAAAAAUCCGACAUCGGAUGUAUAUUGUACUCCCUCCGUAAACAAAUAUAAGAGCAUUUAGAUCACUACUUCAGUGAUCUAAACGCUCUUAUAUUACUUUACGGAGGGAGUAGUUCAAAAAAAAAGGGGAGGUUUAUAAUGCUAUAAUCAGCCGACAGCCGUGGAGCAUCAUUUUCAAGUAUCUCUCGCUGAGCAUCAUACUACGAAUCAACUGGUUAGGCGUUGACCGCGAGUGAUCUUACCUCUUUGUUCUUGUGCAGCCCGCCCUCACAUGAUGCACUGUGUGUGAAUGAAACAUAGCCCCUGGUACUCGAGGGUUUCAAGGACCUCCGGGAAAUUUUGUUAGGGGUGCGGUUGGCCCGAAUAACCGAUUCCGGGGCCGCUACUGCGGUGGUCGCGGUGUUCACCGGCGCUAUCCUCCGCGCAACCUGCCCGAUGCCACGGGUUCGGACACCACAGAGAUGUCCACCGAUGAUGCUGGUCUUACUCAGGCGGCGGUGGAGACGGUUCGGGCCCUCGCCGAUGUGACAGUACCGGUGACCAUGCAGCCUGAUGAUGCUGAUUCCGACAAAGGUUCGGAGAAGGCCGGGGGUGACAAGCUGUCCAAGUGGGCGACUAAGAAGAAAAAAUUGAUCUGUUUCCGGUGUGGUGAGACGGGUCACUUUAUGGUUGAUUGCUCUGCUGAGUUAUGUGAUAUUUGUCGGAAACCCAAGCAUGUGGCGGCUGAGUGUCUGCUUCUUCUAGGCCCCAAACCGACACUUAAUAUUUAUGGGCUCUGUUGUUCUGAGUUGAUGUUCUUUGAGUCACCAAGUGUGGCUCCGGUGGCUCCUGUCAUUGAAACUUUCUUCCCCGGGGUGGUUAAGGUGGUUAAUGGACCUCUCACUGAAGCCCAGAUUAUUCAGCAGUUGCGGGAGUUGGCUCCGGGGAACUUUAACUGGUCCUUGUUGAAGUUAUCAGAUCAGACUUUCAAAGUGGACUUUCCAUCUAAGGAGGAUCAGAAGAGAAUUCUCAAGUUUGGCAUGAGUAGAGUUACCGGCACAAGUUUUGUGUUGUAGUUCGAUGAAUGGAAAAAGAAGGAGCCUCAGGGUACGCCACUGACUCAGAUCUGGGUGCGUUUUCUGGGGGCGCCUGUCGUGGUUCUAAGUCUGACAGUAGAAUGGGGGGUAGGAAUAGAGAGGCAAGAUCUUAGCUAUGGAGUAGUUGUAUACGCAAGGGAUUUACGAGUUCAGGCCCUUCUCGGAGGAAGUAACAGCCCUACGUCUCGGAGCCCGGAGGCGGACGACUGGAUUAUAUGCGUAUGUGUUACAGGGGUGCGAACCCUUCUGACUGGAUUAUAUGCGAAUGACGCCACGCUGGAGAAGUGGAUGACUGCCAUCACAGGAAACAAAGAUAAUCCUCGCGGAGCUAGGAGAAUUCCCCCACUCGACCAUUCUUAUGAUCCAGACAAGGUAUAACCACUUAUCUCCGACUGUGAUUCUGCUGCAUUCAUUCUGUUUUGAUGCAAAUUCGUCGACUGACUUUUGCCUUGUUUUGUUGUCUUCUAGGCCACCACUGAGAUGUACUCGAUGCCCAACGGGGCGCAGGAACCAGUGAAGAUGAAAGCCAGGAGGAAUGGGAGUCCAACGGCGAGGAGGAUGAGGGGGAUGACAGCUCUGGUGAAGAGGAGGAGGAGGAGGAAGACAUCGAUCCUCCCCGCUCGGAAAGAAGGUCCAAGUUGACGCAUGACCCGACGGCCGAGCGCGGUAAAGCUGUUGCGCCCAUUGGGCAGUCGACGAAGCGACCUCGGACAACUUCCCCUGCGCCGACUGAGAAACCGCCGAAGCAACCUCGAGCAACGUCAUCGAAGCCGGCGUAGGCCCUGCCCAAGAUGCGGAUGGUCAUUCCCACCUUCUCCGGGUAAUCAGCAGAACUUGUAUUUCCCUAUUCAACAUGAGUGUACUUUUGGUCGACUCGAUGACUGAUCAGCCGAUUCUUGAAAUCUGCAGUGCUGCUACCUCCAAGACCUCAGCCAAGCACGAAGAUCAGGAAAUGGAAGAUGCCGUCACCUCCAACCUUGGUAUGAUCUCUGCAGUUUCGCUUUUAGUCGAUUGGAUUUCCGUGUUUACUUUUGAAUCUUUCUUGUAGUUCCGCCUCAUGUCACUGAUCUCCCCGAUGAUGAUGAGGAAACGCCGUUGAGGGAGAGGAAGAACAAGAGGGUGCCUGCUGGCAAGGCUGCUCCAGUUGUGACGAUACCUAAGACGCUGGUUCCCGAGGGAGGCAACACCGCUCGGGCUUCUGUGUCUUUUGCUGUACCGCUGACAAGUGCCCGACCCACUUCGUCGACUGCUAAUCCACCAUCCCUUUUUGCUACACACCACGUCCCGGAAGACCAAGUGAGUGCUGCUAAGGAGGCUAUACGCCAGGUAGGGAUCAUGAUGGAGCAAGUGAAGGCAGUCCGAGAGGCCAACCAGGCGGCCUAUGAUGCUAGUUCAGCUCUCCAGAGCAAUGUCCAAGUAAGUCGAUCGUUGCUUGCUCUGUUAGGAUAUGCUACCUGAAACUGCUUCUUUCUGAAGAUUUCCAUAUCUGUACACCCACUGGGUGGGUGUGUCGAUUGAGUUUUUGUGGGGGCACGCUAAGUGCACCCACUGGGUGUAGUCCCCGAGACUAUGGUGGACUGCGUGCAGUCGACUAUAGUCUUUACACUUUGAACUUCUUUACUCGGCCUGGUCGGACCAAGUCGAAUGGAACCUAAAACCGAUGGGGGCACGCUGAGUGCACCCACUGGGUGUAGUCCCCGAGACUAUGGUGGACUGCGGGCAGUCGGCUAUAGUCUAAAGAACUAUUUUUUUACCGCGGCUGACCGCUGACAAUUAGCCAUGGUUUUAGAAUCAUAACCUUUUUGCCUCUUUUGGUCGACUGGUCGAACCAAAUUGGUAAAACCAGUGGGGGCACGCUGAGUGCACCCGCUGGGUGUAGUCCCCGAGACUACUGUCGAAUGUUUUGAUUCGGCUGUAGUCUUAGAAAUGCUACGAUUUUUCCUUAGUCACUCGGAAGUGAUCUGUCUUUGAUGUCUUUUAUUGAUUGACUCUUUGUAGAAAUCUUGCGAGCUUGUGGCUCGCUAUACUGAGUUGGAGAACAAACAGAUCCAGCUCAACCUCGACUUGAAGCUUGCUCAGGAGAAUUUUUGCAGAAGGCGAAGGAUGAAGCAAAAGGUAUGGCUGGUGAGAACUUGACGACUGUCUUUGUUUUUCUGUUCAUUCUCAACUCUGUUCUCAUUGUUGCUAUGCAGAUAAACUGGAGGAGACUCUGAAGAAGAAGGACCUUGACCUUGCAGAGGCACAGAAGGCGGCUUUGGAGAAAACAAAGCUCGCUAAAGAGAAACUUGCCUCGGUCGGCAAACUUGAAGAUGAAAAUGCCAAGCUGAAAGCCGCUCUUGACGCGGCCAACAAGGAAGUUAGUCGACUGAAGAACGACAAGAUUGCUCUGUCUGACAAGGCUGGCCAACUGGCGGGGAAGAGAAAUGACCUGGAGGUUUAUCUUGGAGGGCUCGCCAAGAAGCUGUUCCUCAUGCUUGAAGGUAAUCUCUUUUAUCCGACUAUCUUGCUAUCACCGGCUCAUCGCAUGAUUGUUGUUUUGAGUCUGAGUUGUGUUUUCAGAAUUCUGUCAAAACUUUGAAGAAGAAACCAGUCCAGUGGAAACCAGCCUGGACCCCAUCAACUCUCCUGUGAAGGACGAAGCUGCUAUGAAUGUGCUCCGACUGGAGUCUCGCGUUGCUAGCAUGGUGGAUUAUCUUGCUCAACUGAAAGCUGCAGUGUCGCGGAUCGACUCAACUCUCUGGCCAGAGCAGAUGCUUCAGAAUGACCUUGAAUCCUUAAUGACUCGACUGAAUGAGAUUCCAAGUCGAGUGCAAGAAUGGAAAAAGUCUUCUGCCAGGUGUGGUGCUGAUGUUGCUCUAUCUCUGGUUCGUGUCCACUGCAAGGAAGCGCAAGAGGAAAAGCUGGCGUCCCUCAAAGUUGCCAACACCAGGAAGUAUGACUUCCGAUCUUUCAUGGAGACCUUCAUCGCUGCCGCUACCCGUAUUGCCGAUGGAAUCGACCUCGGCCAGUUUGUUGCACCUUUCAGUCCUCCACCGGAGGAGUAAAAAACUUCUAAGUCCCACCUUAAAUUUGCCUCGGAAUGCCGAGUGGUUUUUGUAACCGACAAAUUUUAACAGGCUUAACGCCUGAGCACUUUCGGAUCCGUAGGACGUUUAUCUGAACUUGAUCUAUCCUUGAACAUGCUUUAUUUGCCUUCGAGAGAACUUUGCUCUUCAUUCGAAAUAUAUUUCAUUGUUGUAAGUAGUAUCCUUUAGGUGAAACUCCAGUCGACUUGUACUUCAUCUAUCUUGCAGGUAGAGACGGAGCACAGACUGCGACUGACCUCGUCGUUCUUGCGGAUUGGGAUGGACCGCACGUUGUACUUGUGGCGAAGCUCCGAAGGAGAAGGUAGCAGUCGACAUGUACCUCGUCGUCCUUGUGGAUUGGGAUGGACCGUACGUUGUACUUGUGGCGAAGCUCCGAAGGAGAAGGUAGCAGUCGACCUGCACCUCGUCAUCCUUGCGGAUUGGGAUGAAUUCCUUACUUAGGCGAGUACUGGACUGCAGCUAAGCCUCCGAGCGGGAGGUGUGCUCUCCACUCGGUAGGAUUUUUAUCACUUAGGCGAGCACUGGGCUGCAGCUAAGCCCCCGAGUGGGAGGUUCGCUCUCCACUCGGUAGGAUUUUGAAUACUUAGGCGAGCACUGGGCUGCAGCUAAGCCCCCGAGUGGGAGGUUUGCUCUCCACUCGGUAGGGUUUUUAUUACUUAGGCGAGCACUGGGCUGCAGCUAAGCCCUCGAGUGGGAGGUUUGCUCUUCACUCGGUAGGAUUUCUAUUACUUAGGCGAGCACUGGGCCACAGCUAAGCCCCCGAGUGGGAGGUUUGCUCUCCACUCGGUAGGAUUUUUAUGGUGUAGCUCUGAAGGAGAAGGUAGCAGCCGACCUGCACCUCGUCGUCCUUGCGAAGCGUUCAUUAUAUUGAAUGUUUAGGCGAAUCCUUGGGCUAUUGCUAAGCCCCCGAGUGAGAGGCUGACUCUACACUCGGUAGGAUUUUGAAUACUUAGGCGAGUACUUGGACUGCAGCUAAGCCCCCGAGUGGGAGGCUGGCUCUCCACUCGGUAGGAUUUUGAAUACUUAGGCGAGUACUUGGACUGCAGCUAAGCCCUCGAGUGGGAGACUGGCUCACCACUCGGUAGGAUUUUGAAUACUUAGGCGAGUACUUGGACUGCAGCUAAGCCCCCGAGUGAGAGGCUGGCUCACCACUCGGUAGGAUUUUGAAUACUUAGGCGAGUACUUGGACUGCAGCUAAGCCCCCGAGUGGGAGGCUGGCUCACCACUCGAUAGGAUUUUGAAUACUUAGGCGAGUACUUGGACUGCAGCUAAGCCCCCGAGUGGGAGACUGGCUCGCCACUCAGAAAGGAUUUUAAAUACUUAGGCGAAGCGGAUUCGCAGCUAAGCCCCCGAGUGGGAGACUGACUCGCCACUCGGAAAGGAUUUUUUUACAAACUUAGGCGAACCGGAUUCGCAGCUAAGCCACCCACUGGGGGAAAUUUCAACAAAAAGUAAUAACAAUCACUGGGAAAAUUAUAACAUUCUUGUCUUAGAUAAACGAACUACAAAAGUACUUUUAUUACAUCUCAACCGAGUGAGUAUUUAAGUAUAAAAGGGGCGGAGCAGCUCUGCAUUCCAAGCUCGAGGCUCGUCGAUCUGGUGAUCAACGUUGUAGAGAUGAUAUGCUCCGUUGUGGAGAACUCUCGUGACGAUGAAGGGACCUUCCCAAGUGGGAGCGAGCUUGUGUGGUUUCUGUUGAUCCACUCGGAGGACCGAAUCUCCCUCUUGGAAGGCUCGACUCUGCACAUUUCUGGCAUGGAAUCGACGCAAGUCUUGCUGAUAGAUAGUCGAGCGGAUCAGGGCCAUCUCCCUCUCCUCUUCCAAGAGGUCGACUGCAUCUUGCCGGGCUUGUUCCGCUUCUUCUUCAGAGUAUAAUUCGACUUGAGGCGCAUUGUGAAGCAGGUCACUCGGCAGAACUGCUUCAGCUCCAUAGACCAGGAAGAAUGGAGUUCUCCCAGUCGAUCGAUUAGGAGUGGUCCUCAAUCCCCAAAGAACUGAUGGAAGUUCGUCGACCCAAGCUCCUGCUGCGUGCUUGAGAUCACGCAUCAGCCGUGGUUUCAGCCCUUUGAGAAUGAGGCCGUUUGCACGCUCUGCUUGUCCAUUCGACUGAGGAUGAGCAACUGAAGCAUAGUCGACCUGCGUGCCCUGAGAGGCGCAGAAGGCUUUGAACAUGUCAUUAUCGAAGUUUGACCCAUUGUCGGUGAUGAUGCUAUGCGGAACUCCAUAUCUGAAUAUCAACUCUCUGAUGAAACUGAUAGCAGUGCAUGCAUCGAGGUUCUUGAUGGGCUUGGCUUCGAUCCACUUGGUGAACUUGUCGACUGCUACUAGCAAAUGAGUGAAGCCGCUUCUGCCAGUUCUCAGCGGUCCAAUCAUGUCUAACCCCCAAACAGCGAAGGGCCAGACGAGUGGAAUGGUCUUCAAGGCUGAGGCGGGCUUGUGUGACAUGUUGGAAUAGAACUGACACCCUUCACACUUGUCGACUAUUUCUUUUGCCAUUUCAUUUGCUUUCGGCCAGUAAAAUCCCGCUCGGUAUGCUUUAGCCACAAUGGUCCGAGAGGACGCAUGAUGGCCACAGGUCCCCGAGUGGAUAUCCUCAAGAAUUAUCUGACCUUCUUCUAGCGUGAUACACUUCUGGCCGACUCCAGUCGCGCUUUCUCUGUACAACUGUCCCUUGAUCACUGUAAAGGCCUUGGAUCGACGGACGAUCUGUCGAGCCUCUUCUUCAUUCUCUGGGAGCUCUUUCCUUAGGAUAUAUGCGAUGUACGGCACUGUCCAGUCGGGAGUGAUGACCACAACUUCCAUAAUCAGGUCGACCACGGCUGGGACCUCAACUUCAGUCGGAUCAUUGGCCCUUUUUUGCUGCGGGGCUUCUUCUGUGAAAGGAUCCUCCUGCACUGAUGGUGCAUGAAUGUGCUCCAAAAAUACAUUACUGGGAAUGGCUUCCCUCUUGGACCCUAUCUUCGCCAAAUCAUCCGCAGCUUGAUUUUUCAGUCGGGGUAUAUGAUGAAGCUCUAACCCCUCGAAUUUCUUCUCUAGCUUUCUCACUGCAUUACAGUAACCUGUCAUAGCUGGGCUUCUGACAUCCCACUCCAUCACUUGAUUAACAACCAGAUCCGAGUCGCCGUAGACCAUAAGGCGACGGACGCCGAGUGAAAUGGCCAUACGCAACCCAUACAGGAGUGCUUCAUAUUCUGCUUCGUUGUUGGAAGAAUCAAAGUGAAUCUGGAGAACGUAUUUGAGCUUAUCUCCUCGGGGGGAAACCAAUACAACCCCCGCACCAGGACCGUUCAGCAUCUUGGAACCAUCGAAAAACAUAGUCCAGUGCUCCGAGUGAACUUGAGUCGGAAGCUGCUGUUCAAUCCACUCGGUGAGGAAGUCUGCUAUUGCUUGGGACUUGAUGGCUUUCUUUGCCUCAAAUUUGAUAUCAAGGGGAAGGAGUUCAAUCACCCAUUUAGCCACUCGACCAGUUGCAUCUCUGUUAUGAAGAAUUUCCGAUAAUGGGGCGUCGCUGACGACUGUAAUGGAAUGAUCAGAGAAAUAAUGAGCAACCUUCUUUGUGGUCAUAUAAAUCUCAUAAACAAGCUUCUAAUAGUGAGGGUAUCUUUGCUUUGAUGGGGUCAGCACUUCAGAAAGAUAAUAAACUGGGCGUUGAACUUUGAAGGCUUUUCCUUCUUCUUCCCGCUCGACCGUAAGUACGGUACUGACGACUUGUCCAGUGGCUGCAAUAUAAAGCAACAAAGGCUCUUUGCUGGUAGGAGCAGCAAGCACCGGCUGGGUGGAGAGCAGAGCUUUUAGCUCUGCAAAUGCUGCAUCAGCUUCUGGAGUCCACUCGAACUUGUCUGACUUCUUCAUCAGUCGGUAAAGAGGCUAUGCCUUUUCACCGAGGCGAGAGAUGAAUCGACUUAAAGCGGCCAAGCAUCCAGUAAGUUCUGGACAUCGUGCACACGCACAGGGCGCUUCAUUCGGAGUAUAGUGCCAACCUUUUCGGGGUUAGCAUCUAUUCCUCGCUCCGAAACGAGAAAAUCGAGUAACUUUCCGCCAGGAACUCCAAAUGUGCACUUUGAUGGGUUAAGCUUGAUAUCAUACCUCUUGAGAUUGGCAAAUGUUUCAGCAAGGUCAGUCAACAGGUCGGAACCCUUUCGUGACUUGACCACUAUAUCAUCCAUGUACGCUUCCACAUUCCGACUGAUUUGAGUGAGCAAACACUUCUGAAUCAUCCUCAUGAAUGUGGCUCCGGCACUCUUGAGACCGAAUGGCAUGGUGACAUAACAGAAGCACCCAAAUGGAGUGAUGAACGCUGUUUUGAUCUCAUCGGGUCCAUACAGACGGAUCUGAUGGUACCCGGAAUAGGCGUCUAAAAAGACAACCUCUCACAUCCCGCAGUUGAGUCGACUAUUUGGUCAAUGCGAGGAAGAAAGAAAUGAUCUUUCGGGCAGGCCCGAUUGAUAUGCUUGAAAUCGAUGCACAUGCGUAAUGACUUGUCCUUCUUGGGGACCAUGACGACAUUGGCGAGCCACUCGGAGUGGUAGAUCUCUCGGAUGAACUCUGCCGCUAAGAGCCAAGCCACCUCUUCACCAAUGGCCUUUCUCUUCUGGACAGCGGACCGUCGAAGAUGUUCUUUAACCGGUUUGACUUUUGGGUCGACUCAUAGGCGGUGCUCAGCCAGCCCCCUGGGAAAACCCGGCAUGUCAGCAGGCUUCCAUGCAAAGAUGUCCCAGUUCUCACGGAGGAACUGGAUGAGCGCUUCUUCCUAUUUUGAGUCGAGUGUUGUUGAGAUGUUGGCCGGAGCAGCAUUGGGAUCAAUCGAGUGAAUGUGAACCUGUUUCGUCUCACCGGACGACUGAAAUGCUGACUCCGUAGCGGGCUUCUUAGCUCGCAACAAAUUACUCGAAUCUGCAGUUUGCUGAUACUCUUGUAACUCUACCACUGCCAACUGAUCAUCGGCGAUCUUAGAGCCCUUUUGGAAGCACUCUUCCGCCUUCUUCCGAUUGCCCGUAAUAGUGAUCAUGCCCUUGGGGCCAGGCAUCGUCAGUUUAAGAUACACGUAACAUGGUCGGGCCAUGAAACGUGCAUAUGCUGGCCUUCCCAGAAUAGCGUGAUAAGCCCUCUGGAAAUCCACGACCUCAAAGGUCAACUUUUCUUUCCGGAAAUGCCUCGAAUCACCAAAAACUACAUCAAGAGCAAUUUGGCCGAGUGACUCAGCCUUCUUUCCAGGAAUGACUCUGUGGAAGCUCAUGUUACUGGUACUGAGUCUGGACAUCGGAAUGUCCAUCCCUUUCAACGUCUCUGCGUACAAUAUGUUCAAGCCACUACCACCAUCCAUCAGAACUUUGGUCAAUCGAGUGCCUUCGACGACUGGGUCGACCACCAACGCUUGCCUCCCAAGGGUGGCAAUGUGCGUCGGGUGAUCGGACUGGUCGAAUGUGAUGGCGGUCUGGGACCAUUUCAGAUAGUUGGGCGUCGCCGGAGCGACCAUGUUCACUUCCCGAUUGAUAACCUUCAAUCGACUUUUGCUUUCGACGUCAGCAAAAAUCAUCAGGGUAGAAUUGACCUGGGGAUAUCCAUCAUCGCUGUCAUCUUUGUCCUCAACUUUGUCUGUCUCCUUAUCCUUAUCCUUGGGUUGUUUCCCUUGGAACUGCUGAAUCAAGAGUCGACACUGUCGAGUGGUAUGUUUCGGGUAAAAGAGUUUACCCUCUUCAUCUUUCUUCGUGUGAAUGUGACAUGGCAAAUCCAACACGUCAUUUCCAUCCUGGUCUUUCACCUUCUUGGGGUUCCAAGGACCCUUGGGUUUCCCCUUGAACUUUCCUGGGGUCACAGCCAAGGCCUCUCCGGGAGCAGCUGGCUCGGCUUUGCGCUUCUGCUUCCGACUGGAAUUUCCUUCGCCGGCCUCAUUAGCGGCCGAUUUGUAUUUAUCACUCCGGAGCCGAUCCUCUUCUUCACCAUUUGCAUACUUGGUGGCAAUCUCCAUCAUCCGACUCAGGGUCAUAUCUCCGGUUCGACCGAAUUUCAAACUCAAUUCUCUGUUCUUGACACCUUCUUUGAAGGCACAGACUGCCCGGUGAUCAGAUACAUUCUCAACUGUGUGGUGCAAAGUGAUCCACCUCUGGAUAUAAUCUCUCAAAGUUUCACUCGACUUCUGCACACAGACUGCAACUCCGUCAACCCUGCUGGUCGCUUGCAAGUCCCUUCAAAUGUCCUGACAAACACUCGGGCAAGAUCUUCCCAAGUGUAAAUACUGCUGGGUGCUAACUGAUUCAACCACGCUCUGGCUGAACCCUCCAACAUAAGAGGCAAAUGCUUCAUGGCUACCUCAUCGUUGCCGCCGCCGAUCUGAACAGCCACUUGGUAAUCUUCAAGCCAAGUGUCAGGCUUGGAUUCACCAGUGAACUUACUGACUCCAGUCGCCAACCUGAAGUUGGGAGGAAUCACCGCGGCUCUGAUGGCUCUGCUGAAACACUCUGGCCCUGAGACAUGAACUCUGCUGCUGGAGGGAACAUCUCUGUCAUGGCCUUCUCGGUGAGCUCUAUUCCUGUCGACCAAACCUUGGACGAUAAUAGAUCUCGCAUCAAAGCCUGGUUCCCUGGGGUCGACUGGAACUCUUCACCCAACACUGUGCUGGCGUCUGUCGUCCUGCUGCCGAGGAGCGUAUGAUCCACCCCUUGGGGGAGGAGUGGGCACUCGAUGUCGAUCAUUGCGAUCGAAUCGGUGCUCAUAUUGCUCGCGGCUCUUGUACUGAUCAUCACGCCGGCCUCCAUGUCCCUCACGCCUCGGGGGCGAUCUCGGACUAUGGGCCGAUUAGACUGAAUUAGCAACGACGGAUCUGCUGUGAAUCAUGUUCCGUGACUGUGAUACGACUGAGUUUUGAUCCCCUGCCGCCCGGAGCAGAUCUCUGAUUUGUAGCAAACCUCUACCCGCCUCCGACUGGGAAGGCUGAAUGGACUCUGCUAUACGGGCGGCAGCUGCUAAAAUCUGAAUCGGAGUUCGAUAUACCUGAGUUGGUGGCUGGAAGAGCUGACGUCGACUGGAUUCUGGAACCCUUGGUCGCGCGCGCUCGUCGAGUACUCGCUGGAGGUUCUCCAGUCGAGUGCGCUCAGCCAGGUUGGCCAAGCGCGCAUCCUCCAAGGCACGAGCCUCGGGGGUUUCUCCAACGAUAGGAGUGUGAAGCGCAUCCAUGUUCCGACGGCGAAGCUCCUCCCUCUGUAGCAAAGUGAGGGGCUCGGGCAGGUACUCUUCGUGGUUUUGCGCCGGAUCGCCUCCACCGUCACCUCCAUUGGUGCGGGGGAAUCCGGGGGGACUGCGUGGUCCAUCGACCAUUAGAACCUCUACCGCCGGGUCACUGCUAUCGCACUUGGACGCAGUCUCUGCGGAGCCAGUCGACAGAUCGAACAGGCCGUAGAGAGAUUCAUCGGGCUCGAUCACCGCGACUUGGGGGGUGGCCGACUGGCGAGCCACCGCAUGCCUCACCCACCGCUGAAGCCUCGACCGACCGGAACGCUUGCGCCGGCGGGAGACUGGGAGCGAGGACGGCACAGGAGCCGACCCAUACUGAGUCGACGGUUGCCGCAGGAGGACGCCGCGGACACACGCGCGAAAGUGCGUCGCCCCGCGGACGGGGAGCGCGUCCACGUCGAGUGGAGCCUCCUGAAGCCAAGCGGAGUCGUCGGCGACGAACGUGAGCUCACCGAGACGGAUCUCGCGGCCCUCGACCAGAACUCCACCUGAAACCAUGAUGUAGGAGAUUGAAAGAAUCCCAACUUCUCCAACAAAUUGCUAGAACACCUGCCCCACGGUGGGCGCCAACUGUCGUGGUUCUAAGUCUGACAGUAGAAUGGGGGGUAGGAAUGGAGAGGCAAGAUCUUAGCUAUGGAGUAGUUGUAUACGCAAGGGAUUUACGAGUUCAGGCCCUUCUGGGAGGAAGUAACAGCCCUACGUCUCGGAGCCCGAAGGCGGACGACUGGAUUAUAUGCGUAUGUGUUACAGGGGUGCGAACCCUUCUGCCUGUGGAGGGGGGUGGCUUAUAUAGAGUGCGCCAGGACCCCAGCCAACCCACGUAGCAGAGGGUUUAAGGUACGUUAAGACUUGGCGUUACUGGUAACGCCGGACAUAAAGUGUCAUCAUGACCAUAAAGACUACUUAAUUAUAGACCAUUUGGAUACAGAGUGAUUCCUGAGCACCUGAUGGUCGAGUGAGCCUUCUUGGUUGAGUGUCUCGGAUUCUAUCGAGUGGAAGCCUACCAGGUCGACUGGAAGGCAGCUUCUUUCGCGAGUGUCCUUGAGGAGGGUACCUUUGGGCAGGUCCAUGACCCUACCCUAGGUACAUGACUUCAUCAGCGCCAUCUGAGGCCUUGGAUAACUUCUUGGUCACAUGGAGCCUGGGAUCCUUGCUCGGUAAGACGGAGCAGGUAGAUAUGCCCUUCACACGUGCUCAUGGUGUGGCGCGCUUGCUGGUUAGUGUGGCUAACAUCGAGUUCUUGUUGGAUGUGGUAAGAUGGUGUCACGAGGGUAUUGCUUAUAUGUUGAAUGUCGAGUAUGAGGACCCUAAUUUGUUUCAGGACUUUGAGGAGGUACAUCAUAUGGACACUACUGAGGGGGGAGGUGCUCCUGGGAACCAUGGUGAUAGCGCACAAAAUGAUGGUAACAGGGCUUCCGGGCCUGCGGAUUCGUCUCAGGCAGGAGAGCCUGCUCAGGGGAAAUCGCUGAGUUCGGUCCCGUCUAACAUGUUGCAGCUUGGUUCCGUAGGAGCUUUCUCAGUACCUCCUCGUCUUUGGAGUGAUCGCGUGGACAUGGAUGAUCCAUCGGAACAAUUGCCGCCGGUGAUUACAGGGAUUGACUCUGUCUUGAUCGUCGAUGGACCGGGAGGAAUCACUGGACAGGAGGUUCACGCUACUCCUCCUUCAUCGUCGUUGCCUAGGCUGGAGGUGACGGCCACGCUGGACGGUUCGGCAGAUUUGGGCGGGCGGGAGGUCCGGCCCUCAUACGCUCUUAAUGCACCUGCUUCGAGGGGGCCCAUGGCCUGCGCGGGGGCUAUCGCCUCCCCGGGGGCUCUGGGGGGCUCGGGUGGGACACGCGGGCAGGAGGCCUGCGCACCACUCUCUCCCUCCAUGGCGAUGUGUUCCCCAACGACUGAUAUGGCGCCAUCAAAGGUGGUGGCAGCUUUCUUGGGAGGGUCGACCGGUGGGGGCGGCCAGGGGCUGACCAUCGUUUCUCCGACCAGACCUGCUCCUACGGCGGGCGCGGCGUUCAUCUCCACGUCACCGCGCGCGGGCGGGGGUGUGGCCGGGCAGGAGGCCGUCGGCUCACCGGGCCCCGUUGCGGUGGGAGGGCCGGGUGACGCGGCCGUCUCACCGGCUUCCUCCCCAGAGCACCGCGCGUGGGUUUCCCCGGACCCUGCUGAUGGCGGGUCGCCCGUGGACAGGCCGCGGGCGACGUCGCCGCUUUGUUCUCCUGCCCCGAUGACUAUGACCCGGGGCGCCGCUGUUGGGGGACGGGCAGGAGGCCUCUCCCCUAGCAGAGCUUCUCGCGAGGAGGUCAUCGCCUUUGGCGGUAUCCCGGAUCCUAUCUCCCAGGGGAGGCGGAUCAGCGGGAGGCUGCAGGAGCAGCCGGACGUUGAUGACAUGCAGCUGAGGUGUGCUUUGAGGGCUGCCAAGUUGCGUGACGUCGAGAUCUCCACUGGUAUGUCUGUUAAUAAGUCGAAUUCCAUUUUGCAUUUUACUGAUGAUGAAAUUAUUCAUAAUGCAAAUCAAAUAGGUGUUUCACUUGGUAAUAAUGAUUUUGAAAUAUCCAAGUCGGUUAACGACAUUCUUGAUUUGGAAGCUGAACGUGCGGUAGAUAUGAUUCAUCACAUUGCUGUUGUUAAACCAAUGAACGACUCGGAGAUAGAUGCGCUUGGGGUUAAGGUCUUUGAUGGCUUGUGUGCCGAUCUUGACCCUGCACUACUUAAGACGGAGGAGGACACCAAUCCUGAGACGUCUCUUCAUGUAGAUGAGCCCUUGGUGCUAGAAGCAGACAAUGAGUGCGGUGAUCAGGUUGGUGGUCACAUAAAGCCAAAACGGACGUGGAAACGGAAGGUCUAUCCAGUCUCGGCAGUGCGUAGGAGUGCUCGGAUCCGUACUGCCAAAAAAUUUCAUGAUGAUUUAUGAGAGGCAUUUUCUGGAAUAGCAGAGGUCUUAGAGACUUGGCUAAAAGAAGGUUCUUAGCGGAUGCUUCUCUUGAACAUCAUUUAGAUUUUAUUGCUUUGUCUGAGACUGGAAGAAGCAAUUUCACUUCUCAAUUNNNNNNNNNNNNNNNNNNNNNNNNNNNNNNNNNNNNNNNNNNNNNNNNNNNNNNNNNNNNNNNNNNNNNNNNNNNNNNNNNNNNNNNNNNNNNNNNNNNNNNNNNNNNNNNNNNNNNNNNNNNNNNNNNNNNNNNNNNNNNNNNNNNNNNNNNNNNNNNNNNNNNNNNNNNNNNNNNNNNNNNNNNNNNNNNNNNNNNNNNNNNNNNNNNNNNNNNNNNNNNNNNNNNNNNNNNNNNNNNNNNNNNNNNNNNNNNNNNNNNNNNNNNNNNNNNNNNNNNNNNNNNNNNNNNNNNNNNNNNNNNNNNNNNNNNNNNNNNNNNNNNNNNNNNNNNNNNNNNNNNNNNNNGCGAAACGUUGGAAGUUCAGAGUGUAGUUUUGGGAGAGUUUGCUGUCAAGUUUCGAGUUAGAACUAAGGCAGAUGGGUUUGAUUGGGUUUUGGUGGCGGUUUACAGAGCUGUGCAACCAGAGCUCAAGCCAGAUUUUUUGGUGGAUCUGGUUCGUAUUUGUGGUAACGAACAACUCCCUCUCUUAGUGGGGGGGGGGGGAUUUCAACAUUAUCCGAAGAAAAGAGGAAAAGAAUAAUGACAAUUUUGACGGCCGAUGGUCGUUUAUGUUCAACACUAUUAUCGAAAGCUUGGAUCUUAGAGAUAUAGAGCUCUUGGGUAGGAAAUUCACUUGGGCUAAUUCGUUACCGGUUCCGACAUUUGAGAAACUUGACCGUGUUCUAGCAAGUGUCGAAUGGGAACAGAAGUUUCCUUUGGUAACUGUGCAGGCAUUGACACGAGGUGUCUCGGAUCAUACACCGUUACUAGUCGACUCCGGAGUUCAAAAUUUUGUGGGCAACAAGAACAUUUUCUUGUUUGAACUUGCCUGGUUUGAAAGAGAAGGGUUCCUUGAGUUGUUAGCUCGGGAGUGGGCUAAAGACUCAGGAGGAAGGACGCCUAUCGAGCGAUGGCAAUGCAAGAUUCGUCAUCUCUGAAGGUUCCUUCGUGGUUGGGCUAAGCACACGCAUGGAAUUUAUAAGGCGGAGAAGGAGAGACUUCUUCUACUUAUUCAAAACCUUGAAGUUAAAGCGGAAACUUCUAUCUUGGAUUCCAGUGAGUUGGAAACAAAGAUAGAGGCGGAGAUGCGACUUAAAAAGCUUCUUCGCGAGGAGGAAUUGAAGUGGGCGUUGCGAGCUAAGGUUCGCAAAAUAGUACAAGGCGAGGAUAAUACUCAAUUCUUUCAUAUGAUUGCUAAUGGGAAGCAUCGUAAAAAGAGAAUUUUCCAAUUAUUAUAAGCAGUUGUUUGGUCCCCCGGAAGAGACUUGUGUCGUUAGAUGAGUAUAGGGUUGAGGAUGUUCCUCAACUUGAGACUGCCAAGAAUGAGCUCCUGACUGCUCCUUUCUCGGAGAAAGAGGUGUUUGAGGCCAUUGCACAAAUGGAGAAUAAUAAGGCUCCAGGACCGGAUGGGUUUCCGGCGGAGUUCUACAAAAAGUGCUUGCAUUUUAUCAAGGGAGAUUUGAUGCCCAUGUUUCAGGAGUUUUUUGAGGGACAGCUUCAGUUGUUUGAGCUGAAUUUUGGGACGAUAACUCUUCUUCCUAAGAAGACAGAGGCUGUUCGCAUUGAGCAGUUCAGGCCUAUAUGUCUGCUUAAUGUGAGUUUCAAAAUCUUCACCAAGGUCGGGAUGAAUAGACUUACGCAGAUUGCGCACUCUGUAGUUCAUCCGUCCCAGACUGCUUUCAUGCCUGAUAGAAACAUCCUUGAAGGGGUUGUUGUCUUGCAUGAAACGCUCCAUGAGAUCCACUCAAAAAACUUGAUGGCGUAGUUUUUAAAGUGGAUUUUGAAAAAGCAUAUGAUAAAGUUAAAUGGCCUUUUCUUCAACAAGCUUUGCGUAUGAAAGGUUUUGAUCCGUCCUGGAGAAACCAGAUUGAUUCCUUUACGCAAAAGGGAGUGUCGGGAUUAAGGUGAAUGACGACAUAGGACACUAUUUCCAAACACACAAGGGGCUAAGGCAAGGAGACCCGAUGUCACCGAUCCUGUUUAACAUAGUGGCUGACAUGCUGACUAUUUUAAUAGGUCAGGCAAAGGAUGCAGGGCAGGUAGGUGGCUUGGUUCCACAUCUAGUUGACGGCGGGAUUUCCAUUCUUCAGUAUGCUGAUGAUACUAUCAUCUUUAUGGAGCACGACUUGACGAAAGCAAGAAACAUGAAGCUGCUAUUAUGCUUAUUUGAACAAUUGUCUGGCCUCAAAAUCAACUUCCACAAGAGCGAAUUGUUUUGCUUCGAAAGAGCAAAUGAAGACCAGGAGACGUAUAAACAAUUGUUCGGAUGUGAAUUGGGCUCAUUACCGUUUACGUACUUAGGUAUACCCAUUCAUCAUCGUAAGCUGACUAACAUUGAGUGGAAAUGCAUCAAGGAUCGUUUUGAAAAGAAACUGAGCUGUUGGAAAGGGAAGCUCAUGUCAUACGGAGGACGAUUGAUUCUGAUUAAUUCGGCCCUUACCAAUAUGCCUAUGUUUCUCUUAUCCUUUUUCCUGGUUCCUGUGGGCGUCAGGAAAAGGUUAGAUUUCUACCGAUCUCGAUUCUUUUGGCAGAUUGAUGAGCUUAAACGAAAGUAUAGGGUUGCUAAGUGGGAUAUAAUCUGUAGGCCGAAGGACCAAGGAGGUCUAGGUAUUGAAAAUCUAGAAGUCAAAAACAUAUGUCUCCUUAGCAAGUGGCUAUUUAAACUGUCGUCUGAGACGGAGGCUACUUGGACACAGAUUUUGCGUAAUAAGUAUCUUUAUGCUAAAACCUAGGCUCAGGUGAAUGUGAGGCCUUCCGACUCACCUUUUUGGAAGGGUUUGAUGAGAGUUAAACAACUCUUUUUCAACAAGACAAAAUUUAUUGUCGGGAAUGGUGCCACUACGAGGUUUUGGGAGGAUACGUGGCUUGGGGAGACCCCCCUUGCACUUCAAUAUCCUACUUUGUGCAACAUUGUCCGACGUAGAGAAGCCUACAUUGCAACUAUUUUACAAUCCGCUCCCCUCAAUAUUAGUUUUCGACGGACGCUAGUUGGAAAUCGUUGGGAGGCCUGGCUCCAUCUUGUUAGACGUUUAAUGGAAGUCCGGCUGUCCCAGCAGCCAGAUCAGCUGCAUUGGAAACUUACUAAGAACGGUGUGUUCUCGGUCAAAUCAAUGUAUCUGGAUGUCAUUAACUCUAGCGUCAUCCCUUCCUCGAUGCACAUUUGGAAAGUUAAAGUACCCUUACGAAUCAAAGUGUUUAUGUGGUUUGUGCAUAAACAAGUCAUUUUGACUAAGGAUAACCUUGCAAAACGCAACUGGGUGGGCUCGUCUAGGUGUAGCUUUUGCGAUCAUAACGAAAGCAUCAAACACCUCUUUCUCGAUUGUCCGUUGGCUAAGAUUCUGUGGCGGUCGAUUCAUAUUGCAUUUAAUAUUAAUCAGCCCACCUCUAUCAAACAUGGUAUUUGGAACAUGGCUUGAUGGGGUUGAUUCUGAUACUGCAAGACACAUUCGUGUUGGUGUUUGUGCUUUAUUUUGGGCAGUAUGGAACUGCAGAAAUGAUUUAGUCUUUAACAGAUCAACAAACAUUCACUUUUUGCAGGUUAUCUUCAGGGCCACAGCCUUCAUCCGUAUGUGAUCGCUACUCACUUCGAUGGAGGCUAGGGAGCGUUUGGUUACUGCGUCUACCCGAUGGGAGAUGGUAGUUCGGGAUAUUUUCAACCGGUUUGGAUGGCGGCCAUGUAAUAGGAUAGGCAUGUAGUGCUCCUAUUGUAUUUGCCAGCCGGUUGUGGCUUUGGGUCUUAGCUCUUUUGAGCUUUUGUUUAUUUUCGCACUACGACCUUUGGAGACUUUGUUACUGGAUUAUCUUUUUAAUAAUAUGAGCCGUAUGCAUCUUUCUGAUGCAGAGGCUGGGGUACACCCCCUUUUCGAAAAAAAGAAAAAAUAGUAAAAAGCUGAUGAAAGAUGAGACCUCGGCAUACAAAAAGAAUCCGCGCGGCGUGUACUAAGAUUUUGUGGAAAACCCUGUAAAAAUGGUAAGGCUGGCCAUAGUGGGGGGAACAUAAGUAGUAUCAUGUACUUGGGACUCGCAAACAUGCUUAUGUGGCAGGCAAUUAAAGAAGAGAGAGAUGGUUAUAUUAACAUAGGUAGAUACCGUAACAUAAUAAAUGUGAUGCUACUGUGUCAUGCAUGGCAAUAAAUGAGACCACUUAAUUGGUGUUUAAAGAUUGCCACGCGGAAACAUAUAAAUUUCUUAUGAUGCCGUGUACUAAGAUUUAUCAUGUUCUAAAGUCAACAUUACCCUGCACACCCUCCCUCUAUAAAAAAAACAUAAGAGCAUUUACAUCACUAAUAUUUCUGUACAGAGGGCAUUGUGUACGAACACAAAUGUCAGCAAGUUUGCCAUGCGACGUGCCUGAGGGCACCAGAUUUUUAACUCUAAAACUCUGACAUUGGAUGUAUAUUGUACUUGAGAAGAAAAAAAAUGGAUUUUAGUAAUGUUAUCAUCAGCCGUGGAGCAUCAUUUUCAAGUAUCUCUGGCUUAGCAUCAUAGUACGAACCAACUGGUUAGGCGCCGGGGCGUUGACCUUCAGCGAGUGAUUUUACCUCAUUCUUAUUCCACUGCAGUCCUCACAUGCACCGUGUCUUUGUGUGAAUGAAACAUAGCCCCUGGUGCCGGUAGUAGCGAAACCGAUGAAAGAUGAGACCUCGGCAUACAAAAAGAAUCCGCGUGCCCAUGCAUCGCAUCGCUCCAGAGAAGCGCCCUCAUGCGCAUGUGCAUCUACAUCUGCAUCUACUAGCUCGAUUUUGAUUCUGUAGGGCAAACUUGAAUGGCGCCGUCGUAUAUCCACCAGAAUCAACCACCACAGUGCCCAUUACAUUACUCCCUCGCUCUCGCUGGGCCACCACCACCCGUGUCCCUCCAACCUCUUCUUCCAAUGUCGCCAGGCCGGCUCAAUUCCGCCCAGUGGAUAUCUUCUAAUGUAACAGUUCAAUUCUCGCACUGAAAACAGGGGCCCAAAAACUCUGCGUAAUUUUCCUUUUUUUUCUUCUCUAUGUAUGUAGCUCCAACUCUGUUGUGUGUGUGUGUGUGUGUGUGUGUUUUGCUCUACAACACGCAGGAGAACUCUGUUGUCUACGAUCUGUAAAAUGUAUAGCUGUCGCUGCUGUAGGUACGGACUCGAGCGGCGCCGCCGUCGAUUUGCAUCUUCAUUCACUCGAUGUAGGCGACGGUGCAGCCGUAGUUCAGGGGGCUCUCGUCCUCGAUCCUCACCACCCGGGGAUGGCUCCGGAGCACGCCCAGCGCGCACUCCUUCACCGCCCCGGUGCCCAUGCCGUGGACCACAAACAGGACCUGGUACGCCCUGCACCCGUCAAUGGCCAUCUCCAGCUCAUGCGACGCCUCGCCCACCCGCAUCCCCCGCAGGUCCACCGUGUUCCUCGACGUCUGCACCGCCGGGGCAAAGGAGACGCUGCCGGUCUGCGCCGUGCCCGCUGCAGACCGCUUCUGUGUUCGAGAUCCCUGCCAAAUUGCCACACCGUAGGCGUAAAACAUCAACUUGGCAGAACAUUAUUACAGGGCCUGGUGAAUAAUACAGUCUAGCUUGGGCCUGCUGAAUAAUACAGUCUAGCUUAUGAUGAGGGAGAACAUUACACCAAUCAUACGCUGCCUGGAACAUACGAUGGGAUUUCACUUAAUUAAGGUGCAUGCACGGAUCCACUCCGCCGGCCUAGCUUUGCAUGGACCAAUGUGCGCCCGCUCAAGCCUAGCUUGCUCCACACUGCAUCUACCCGAACUAAAGCCAGAAUCAUCAAUAGUACCAGCAAUGUCAGAUUCAAUGCAUCCUGUAGGGCUCGAGCGAACUCGGUUUCCCUCCCGAGCUUGCCAUGCUAACAUGCCACGUGUAGGACGCGGAGCGUACCGACAUAAAAGUAGGAUGGUGGAUAUGCCAUCAGUGCGUGCGUGGCUCAAAAGAUAAUGGCCAGUUGGCUGGGGAACACAUGAUAUACCGGUCUAAUGGGGCAUUCGACGACCCAACUCGAUGGAAAGGAACGAUAUAUGCAAACCUAAAGUUGAGUCCGUCCUUCGGAGAAACUGGGUGUGCUUAGCCUAGCUCAUCGGGCAGCGCAGAUUUUCUGAAACGGAUAGAACGAACCAGCAUUGAAUACACCAUGUUUCUAUGCACAACAGCACAUGAUGGGACGACUGACGAGUGUUAACCAGACCUGCUUUACCUAACUGAGCCUACAGAUAUUUGAAUAGGGUCUGAGAAGAACCUAGACGGCAGUGAGAACCUAAUAUCAUUUGAUACUCCCUCCGUCCCGAAUUACUUGUCGCAGAAAUGGAUAGAAAUGGAUGUAUCUAGAACUAAAAAUUCCGGACGGAGGGAGUACAUUUCAUCACGGACACAGCAGUCAAAGCGACGCCAUUGGUUCUUGACCACAGUUAUGUUGACGAAAUAUAUGAUGUAUGUUAUGUCAGUGGCUACACUAGGUUUCCAACAUUUCAAACAGGUUUAUCAUGUAUUCAUGUUGCAUGCCAAAUGAUGAGUAAAACCAAAAUAAAUGCAGCUGGAUAAUCUAUUAAAGAGCAGAUGCAAAGCGCACCUUUCCUUGUGCCGAGGAAGAAGCCGAUGUCUCCUUCGUGUCUCUCUGGGCCAGCUUCAUCUUGUUACUCUUGGCCCGCACCUUUAUUUUUCCAUACUGAACCAUACAGCUCCCAUCUUCACUGAGUAUCUCGACAACAGUGGCCAUACUCCCGCCUCCCAGUCCUUCAACAUACACUUUGUCUCCAAUUUGAGGAACAUAUAAACUCUUGUUUUCAUCGUCGCUGACAGCAAACUCAGUUGGCUGAUGAGCAGCAGCCAAGGAAGCCGUCGCAGCUUCUGCUUUCCUCAUUACUGAGUUGUACUGUUCGAGUUUUGAAUUCUUUAGUUGAACUUCAAAGUUCUUGAUUAGAAGGUCCAUCUGAGACUUUACAGACUUCAACUCUUGUUGCACCUUUCGAGACUCUCUUGCCUUCAAAGCAGCUACUCGGUUAUCUAGCUCAUCAGCUUCUAAGCGAAUCUUCAAAAUCAAAUUAUUAUCAAGUGAGGUUUCAACUGAAAGUAUGAAAUCACUACUGUGAAAAAAUGUCAAAACAGAUAAUAACAGUAAAGAGAUGUACCUCAUUGUAAAGAUCCUCAACCUCUGAAAGAACAGAUGCUACUUCAUUUGCCUGGGACUCCAGAAGGUUUCUUUCGUCCAGCAGAGAGCCGUAAAGUAAACCUUGGCGUUCCUUUUGUUUGUCAGGCAAUAGUUUCUCAACCCAUUCCUGUGCACGAUCGAGUACUUUCUGAUCAAAGCCAAUUGACUUUGCAAUGCUCAAUGCAUUCGAAUAACCGGUACUUCCCCAUAAUACUCGAUAUGUUGGUUUCAGAGUUUCCAAACAAAAUUCCAUUGCAGCGUUCUCAAAUCGAUCAUCAACAGCUUUAAGACGGCUUAGAUCAGCAUAAUGGGUUGUCACGACAGCCAAGUUUAGUCUACUAGCAAGAUACUUCAAAAUGCUAGUUGAAAGGGAUACACCUUCGGAUGGGUCAGUGCCGCUGCCGAUCUCAUCAAUAAGAACAAGAGAAUCUGUUGAUACAACUUGUGCAAUCUUGCGAAGACGUGAUAUGUUCCCGCUGAAGGUAGAGAGGCUAUUCUCCAGAGACUUCAAUCCAGAAAACAGUUUGCAUCAAUAAGCAUAUUUGUCCCGCAAGUGGUUAGAGAAACUCUCUUCAAAAGACAGAGACUACCUGGUGGUCACCAAUGUCUGCAAGAACCUGAUCAAACCAUGGAAGCCUAGGCCUUCCUUUGGCCGGGAAGAACAUUCCAGCUUUUGACAUAAGAGAGGCCAAUCCCAAGGUCUUCAUAGUAGCAGUUUUGCCUCCGGUGUUAGGUCCGGAGAUCACAACUAUCCUAGUAUCAUUCUUCACAUGCAUGUCCAAUGGAACAGGCAUUGAAGGGACAGGGCGGUCUUCUGAUAGCUGUUCUUUCCCCACUUCAGUUGCUUCAGCGGUCAAUUCUUCUACAGUACCAAGGGACUGUUCAAGGAGCAAAGGAUGUCGAAUGCCUUCAAUAAAUACUGAAUAUGCGCUACUUGGGUCCAAUUCACUGCUGCCAUCCCUGUUACUGAAGGCAGGCCUCACUCCAUUUAUCCAUAGGGCAUAUGAACCUCUAGCACAAGCCAGGUCCAGCUCCAAUAUUUUCCCCAUCAAAUGCCUGAUCUUCGUCCGGGACUCUGCUAUUCUUGACGUUAGUAAGCCCAAUACUGCCAACUCCUCAGCUCUCUCAUCGCCCGAGAGUUUUACUUCAGUGUUGUUCAGCUUGACGGCGUCCCUUGGCUCCAUAAAGUAUGUCGCACCAGAGCCACUGGAACUCAGAACAAUUCCACCUGGCACCAAAUGCUUGUGUGAAGCUUUAACACCAACACACAUUCUAGAGCGGCGCUUAGUGACCACAGGGCUAUCAGCCCCGCCUGCCUGGAAAAUCUUCACGGACGUAUCUCUCAACAGGGAUUCUAGCAUAUCGAUGUUCAUCCUCCUUUCCUUGCGGAUUGUUCCUAGUCUUUCGCUGGCCCGAUCAAGGACCAUAGAAAGAUUGGAGUCAAGGCAGAACUCGAUCAUUUUUACAAGCUCUGUCAAGAAGUCGCAGCCCUGCAGUAUAUCCAGAAGAGAGGUGUACCUGCAGAGGAUGAACCAACAAAAUAUCUUAAGAUGCCAUCGGUAAAAAUAAUACAACCCAAGCUGAGUUGCAUAACUGGACACAGUGCAAAUGGGGCACUGCAUUCACAAUUUUAGCCCCAAAUUGUGUGCUAUUGCACAUACAAACCUUAUGAGCUACAUUGUGUGUUAUUGGCUGAAACUACACUGAUUCGAAUUCAACAAUGUUGUGUUUCAAUGUUCCCUACAUACAGAAAAUUGUUCAUCAAGCUGAUUUGCAUAACUGGAUAUAGUCCAAACAGGGUUCUGCAUUCAGAAUUUUAGCCCAAAAUUGCAUGUCACUUGCACAAAGAAACCUUGUGAGCUACACUGAUUCAAAUUCAUCAAUGUUGUGUUUCAGAAUUCAGUGUUCCGAUACUGCUUUGCGCUGAACCUACUGGGUUCGUGGGUUUUGUGUCUGAUGAAAUAGAACCAAGCAGAUUUUAUGCAAAGAAAAUGUUGCAUUUCUACCAAAUCAUUACUACAUUUUAGCUCGAUUCCGUUUCCACAAGAGUUAAGCAGAACCAGGUCCCUUACCUCCCAUCUGGCAUCUCCUCGGCGAGGCUCUUCACUUGGUCGAACACCCCGCGCGCGGCCCGGAGGCUGCGCCCGACGCCGCAUAUCUCCCGCACGGCGAGCAGCCGGCCACGGGCGGCCGCGGCGACGACCGCGGACACGUCGCCCACGCCGUCGAAAUCCAGCGGCGCCGAGAGCAGCGACGCAGCUGCGGUCUGCUCGAGCAGCCGCUCGCUCUCCUCCCGGCUGCGGCCGACGGGGACCCGGCCCUCCCCGCAGGCGGCGCGGCCCGCGGCGGUGGCGGCGAAGUCGGCCAGCCGCGCGCACACGCCGCCCCACUCCAGCGCGGACUCCGCCUCCAGCCGCAGCUCCUCCGCCUCCGGGACUUCCGACGUGGCGGGCGAUGCUAGGGUUCGCGAGGCGGCCGCCGACCGGAGGCGUCGCGGCGGAGCGUGUGGAAUGCGCGAGAGGCGGGCGGGGAAGGAAACUGUACAGUGGAGUGCCAACGGCAGGCGGAGGUAGAGGUUUAGGGCGGCGGCGGCGACAAUGGUGGCCAUGGCCGCCGGAAUGGUAGCGGCAGCCGGAGGUCUCCGCUUCCCGCCGGAGACGGAGGUGGGGGUUGGAACACGCGGCCGCGUUCAGCGCCUUAUCCAAAACCCCAUACCGCUUCAUCGAGGGCUUAACGUAGACGAGAAAAUACGCCUUCUCCCAUCGUUUACGCACACACAUUGCAUUGCGCCUGAGCCUCUGCAAAUUCGAAUACAGUAGAAACAGAGUGUCUGAAUAGUCCAGGAAGAUCUUUUUUACAGCUGAAAAUUCAUCGGCAAGUCAUAAGAGUAGCAGAAUAAUCCACAUUCUUCCCAUAGAUAUUAUCACAACUGAGAAGUUCAGAACUACUACAUCUGAAUAAUUCAGAGAAAUAACCUACACCUGGUGCUGUCCAAUGAAUGGGUGGGUAUACACAAUGGAGGGGAAUGGAUGCAUGCACCGGAUCCAAUUAUACACAGGGAAACAACUACAAAUCUGCACACAUACAUACUACUACACAGCGCACACGAUCAUAUACGCUAG